rnacentral:lncRNA from 1 species
AAAAUAGAACUAUUGGUACUAGGCCACAGGGGACUAUAUGUUUAUCUCAAAGCAGAAAUGCCAAGAACAAUGUGGAAAAGAUUGGGAUGACACCUGCUCCUACACAUGUGAAAGGUAUAGAAGAUAGAAGCAGUUGGGCUCAACUGGGUUGGACGAAACUAUUGAUGAUUGCAUACAAUGUCACACACGAUGUCAUGAUAUUUUAUUAUGAUAACCUGAAUGCUGAAACUAGGUCCAAAAAUCAGAUUCAGCAUAGAAGGACAAAGUACUGUUUUUGUUAUUAUCACAUCAUUAGAAAAUCCGUGGAAGACAAAUUCAGAGGCCUAAAGCAUGGACUGGAACUAGCAGACAAGGUUGCAAAGAAUUUAGGUAAAAUUCAAAUUGAAUAUGAGAGAGGGAAAUUAGAGAUUUGGACUCUUGUGAAAUUAUGGCAAUUAAAGUGGAAAAAUAAAGGAAAUAAAAAUAGUGUCUGCCCUCUUAAAAGAAAGAGCCACAUUAAUGAUAAAUCAUUCCCUAGCAUUGAAAAUAGUAUCUAUUCCCUCAGCACAUGCUACCUAAACACAGCAAUCUCCAUCUCCAUUCAACUUCUCAGAAAAGCUCAGCUAGGGCAAAUAAACUUUUCUCAAAAGUCCUACAGCAUGUCUCAACAUCCAUCAUCAUCUGGUUCAAAAUCCUCUCACCAUGCAAAGACUCCCUCCAUGGAGUUUGUAGAUGAAGACGUGAUGGACGUUACUCCACUUUGCAUGAUACCAGGCGACACCCCAGGUCCCUCCUCCAAGGCUGGAGAUAAGCAAGGUAAUACCCCUGGUAACUCAUCUCUUCCAAAAGACAUGCAUUAUGCUGAUCGUGCCAUAAGGAACCUAGUCACUAGGAUUCUAAGUGAAGGGCAUGAAGUCAAAGGGGUUUCUACCCCUCUGUCCAGAAGGGACCCUUCUCCUGAGGAGGAACCUCAUGCUGAUAAAGAUGAUGACUCAUCUAGAUCAGAAAAGGAAGUUGCUGUUGAAGGGCUAUGCUCUCUAGGUAAAACCCUACCUAGCAAGAAACCAGCAAAUGUGUCUCAGGAGAAGGUUAUUGACCUAGAGAAAGAAAGCUCUGAAGAAGAGGAUGAUCCUUUGGUUCAUCUUGUAAAACCUAGUGUAGCUGAGAAACUGAGAACUAGGAAAGCAAAAAGUGUGGCUAAAAUGAGAACAGCAAGAGUAAAAAAGGCUGCUGGUAUAGGACCCUCAAAAUCCUGGAGCAAAGUUGAGGUUAGGAAAAGGAAAGAAAGAGACAGCUCUGACUCUGAGGAAGAUGUCGAAGACGAUGUCCCAGACAUCUCCCCUGCAAAAAGGCAAGUUGUUCAGAAGUCUCCUGGCAAAGCUGCUGCUGUGCACCUAGACAAUAUCUCCUUUCAUUUAGAAGAUGGUGCAGCAAAAUGGAAAUUUGUCAUUCAGAGGAGAGUAGCUAUUGAAAGAGAGCUUGGCAAAGAGGUUGUAGAGGUAAAGGAAGUAAUUGAUUUGAUCAAAAAUGCUGGACUAAUGAAGACUGUGGUAGCUCUACCCCAAUGUAUGAUGGGUUUGGUCAAAGGUUCUUAUUGUUAAUCCUGAGGUAUUUAUGAAAAUGGCGAGGGUAGUUCUAAGGUUGUUUGGUACGGAAAUGUGUGCGCUUCUGCCUAAGUAUUAUCACAAGUUCCUAGGAAAGACUGAUGAGCGGGAGUGGACCUAGAGAUACAGACAUGAGGUCUGUUUAGGGUUUUACGCUGGCCAAGUUAAGGAUGGCCUAGUGGGCAUCAUUAUCGUGGGAGUCUGCCGUAAUAUGCCAUCUUAAACAGAUUGGUUGUAAUUGGGUGCCUACUAUCCAUCUCUACAUCUCCAUUAGUCUUGGAAGAAUCAUUCAUGCAAUUGGAACCAGGAUUAACUAUGAUUUUGGAAAGUUUAUAUUUGAUCAAACCAUCAGACAUGCCUCUACAAAUGCUGUGAAAUUACCCAUUACCUUCCCAUCCAUUAUUUGUGGUAUUAUCUUAAGUCAACAACCAGGCAUACUCAAUACAAAUGACAUGCCAACCAGAAGAAAACCCCCUCUGUCCAUUCAUUAUAAGCUGUUUGAGGGAAGUCAUGUCAAUAAUGUUGUCAUGACAUCUACCAGAAGGGAACCUGCAUCUCAAGGGAGCUUAAUUGACCAACUAAAAGAUACGUGCAAGGAACUGGAGAAUGGUAUAAAGGUGGCCAAGGCAAGAAAAGAAGCUUUGGAAGCUCUUAUUUGUAGCCUGGAAAAAGAGGAGAUAGAGAGGGCUAGUAAGGAUUCAGAUGCAAAAGUACAAUCCAGUGGUAGCUCUGAAAGCUCUGAUGGCUCUGAAGGUGAAGGUGAAGGUGAAGGUGAUACUUCUUCCUCUGAUUGAUGGUUCCCCCUCUUGUUUGUUGAAGACUGAAGACUGUAUGAGGUGGGCUGUGAAGACUGUGAAGCUGUUGUGUCUGAUGUUUUGGAUGAUGGUCUGCUGUUGCUAUAUGGAUGCUAAAGUUUUUGUUUUUUUGGAAAUUGUGUAAUGUGUGGCAGUCCUCAUUGAUGCCUGUUUUGUAAUAUUUAUGGCUCUUAAAGAGUUCCUUGGAUUUGUUCAUUAUCUCAGCUAUCACAGUUAUGUAUAAUGAUGGUUUGUACUUCCCGAAUAUUGUGUUCUAACAUGCUUAAUGUUAUAACAUCUGAUCUAACUUUCUCUGCUAGGCUAAUAGACAUUUAUUGUGUCUGAUUGGUCACCUUUGGUCAAUUUUGACUAAAAAGGGGGAGAAGUGUUGAUAUGGAAGCUGUUGUGGAAGUUGUGAGAUGUUUAUAGCUGGAGGACAGCUAUUAUUGAAGGAAAUGCGCAGGUGUUAAAACAGAAUGUUGUUCUGUUUACAGAUGUCAAAAAGGAUGUCUGAUAUGGUGCACAGGUGUUGAUGUUGAAGCAGAUGUCAGAAUGACAUUCUGGCUGGUACAGGUGCUGGAGUUACAGUAGCUGUUAUGUUCAUGGAGACUGUUUGUUCUGUGCACAGAUUUAGGGGGAGAAGGAGUAUCCUUGUGCAUUUGUAUGUCUUACUAGUUGCAUCUAUAACUAGUAAUUCUGUUUUUGUUGCACAAAUUUAGGGGGAGGAGAAGUACCCUUGUGCAUGUGUGUAUUACUAGUAGCUAUAGCUAGUAAUUGUUUUGCUUCUGCUGUUGUUUAAACUACUGUUAAGUUGUUUAACUGCUGAUAGUUUACCUUGUGAACAAAAAUGACAGAUAUAUGUUUUAGCCAAAAUUUGCCAAAGGGGAGUUUGUUUAUUCUAAGUGUUGGCAACAAUUUUGGUAAAACAAAUAAUGUUCACAAGAUGUUAUGUGUGAUGUCUUAACAUGAGAUAUCAUAUGUACCUGUUGGAGUUCAAGAACAUGUUCAUGCAGGACUGUUUCAGAAUGCCAUAUACAAUGCCAUGGCUUCUGAUAUUGGAUGUACCUGCUGGAGCUUAAAUGAAAGACAUGUUCAUGCAGGAUUGUUUCAAGAUGUCAUACACAAGGUCAUGGCAUCUGAUAUGGUUGUACCUGUUGGAAGUUAUAAAAGGAAUUAUUGGAUUAUGCAGGAUUUUUCCAGGAUGUCAGACCCGAUGUCAUGACGUCCUGUACACAGAACAUUCAGUGUGAAUGUCUGGUGUUUUGUGAUUGCACAAUUAAUGACAAUCUUUACAUGAUUGAAGAUCUGAUUAGCUGGCGCAUUCAAUCAUGGAUUACAACCAGAUUUACUUAUUUUCUAAGGAGAUCUAACCAGCUGUUAUAAAAAGAUUUGAUUGGAAAAUAUAUUUAGGGUUUUCAAGAUGUCCAAGCCCAACUGGAUGCUUAUAUAAAAAGCGACUUAGAAAACCUGUUUGAACACACAACCAAUACUGAGCGAAAUAUAGAGAGAGAGCUAGGGUUUAUGUCUGUUUAGUCGUGAGACUUGUAAGCCAUUCAAGUCAUCCAUUUAUGAUUGAAUUGGACUGAUUUGUGGUUGUAAUUUGUCACUCUAAAGCUGUUAAGCAAGAGUGUGUGUCUUCUUGAUCAAAGUUGUGAAGCAAGAUCAAGAGUGUGUCUUCUUGAUUGAAACUGUGAAGUAAAAUCAAGAGUGUGUAAUUGAAAAGUGUUUUCUUUUCUCAAGGGAUUGUUGUUUAAGAUCACAGGUGUGAUUGUAGGGAAGUCAGUGGGUUCUCAUAUCUAAGAGUGCUUAGGUAGAAAUUGCACGGGUAUAGAUUAGGUGAGAAAGACUGUAACUUGUUGAAGUGUACGGAGAGUCUUUGAACUAAUUCUAUUUUUAGUGAAUUUCCUUCCUGGCUUGGUAGCCCCCAGACGUAGGUGAGUUGGACCGAACUGGGUUAACAAUUGCUUGUGUCAUUUGCUUUACCAUUCUGUAUCUUUAUCCUAUUUGUAUUAACAGAUAUUAGUGCCGUGACAUUGACUUCGACAUCUUAUAUCUGAUACCAGAAUUUCAACUUGUAAUUGACUCAGGAUCAAUCAAAGAGUGGUAACUGUUUCCUCCAUGAUUUGGAGAAGACUAAGUCCCACUUGACCAUGUCUUUAGAGGAGGAAGUUAGGGAAAUGGUUCUCUAGAUCUCUAUCUCAGGCCCAACGAGCCUCUACGUAUACCUCAUUCCCAGAAUGAGGGGCGAGGGAUCUCUAAUUUCCCACAUAAACAUACAUAAAUAGCUUAUCACCAUUCUACGUGAGCUAAUCUUAUGCAUUGUCCAAAUACUCUAAGUACCUCAAACAACCAUACACGCACACAAGGUUACCCGUAUUGUACUUUUUUUAGCAAGUACACAAUCAUUGGGUUUAAAAACUCUCCUUUUGUUCCCUUUAUUAUCAUUCUUUGCGUAACUUUUUAAAAAAAAAUUGUAAACUCACUUGCUCAUGUAAUUUUCUAACAAAUUCAACAUUGGCUCUAUCAACUUUAUAUUUCAAAAGAGAUGUGUUAGGAAAUGGUAAUAAACCAAAAUUUAUUAAAGGCUUAAAACCAUAAAUAAUCUAAAAAAAGGAAUACUAGGUAGUGCUAUGGACAACCAUAUUGUAAGUAAACUUUCCAUCGAGCAACCACUGUUUCCAUAUUUUUAAAUUCUUUUUAAGAAAAAUCUUAAUAAGAGUAGAAAAAAAUUAUUUACUACCUUAGUUUGUCCAUCUAUUUAUAGAUGAAAAGUAGUUGAGAAUAAUAACUUGGUUUCCACCUUACCCCACAAUGUUCUCCAAAAAUGACUUUGGGCUUUGAUUCUAGGAUAUGAAACUAUGUUUCUUGGUAUACCAUGUAGAUGUACUACGUCUUUAAAGAACAAAUCAACAACAUGACAAGGACCGUCUACCUUUUUGCAAUGAAUAAAAUGGACCAUCUUUGAAAAUAUGUACACAAUGACAAAAACAUAAUCCAUUUCAUUCCUUAUUCUAGGUAAGGUGUAAGCAUAUUAGAAAAAAUCAAUUAAACUGACAAUCAAAACCAAACCAAACCAAAUCGGAAAAAACCUGAUUAUUUCUAUUUAGUUCAAACACCGAAUCGAACCGAUGAAAAUCGAGGUGGUUUGGUUCGGUUAUCAGUUUUAAUUUUUAGGAAGCGUCAAAUCGGUGAGCCUGCACCUCAAAAGUUUCUUGAUAGAAUCGAGGGCCUCAUUUAGAGAGCUUUUCAGUCUAGUGGUCGUGGUAGCGUGAGUCCGCGCCUAUAACAACUUCGUCUUUAUUAAGGCCUUUAAGGUGAUCUUUUCUUGCACUUAGGAUCUCACUCCUCGGUGUUGAACGAUGAUUUCCUAAGCCCUGGAGAGUUUUUACUUCAGGCCCUUUGAAGUGUUUGAUAAUAUGAGCAUAAAUCCUCUAAGAAAGUAAGGUGGUCUUCAAUAUACUUUAUGGCGUCAAACAAAGUGUCCUUUUAGAGGGACGAUAAAGGGUGAGGACCAUUCCCAAUCAUCCGGGUAUCACCUCCAUCAUCCUUGGGAAGUGGUAAUUAUUUUCACCUAGGUUUUGGGAAGAACCUUUCAUUGCCUAAGAGACUUCAAAGGAGUUUGGUCUAGAAUCUGGUGAUCCUCGAUACACUUCGAUGUCCCUUUUGAAAACUGAUCGUCUUUGAGUAAAAAAGGAACUACAACUGGUUGAUUUUUAACCGUCAUCCUUGUUAUUCGUUCCUUCCUCUCAUCUAGAGGGGCCAUUGACAUUUCACCUAGGUAAAACACAAAAGUAGAAAGUGGUUGGGAAAAAUAUUUUGGGAAUAAUCCCAAAGGCUGGUCAGUAAUAGACUCAUCUAGAUAGUUGUAUAUCUAUUGUCGUCACCCUUUAGAUCCAACGUGAUAAAGGUAUGGGAGCACAUGUACUGAAAGCCUGGCAGUUCUUGAACAACCCCGCUUGAAGAGGUUAAGGUAAUCGAGAGAGAGUCCUGGGGAAACCUUCUAAUCAACCGUUCAGGACAAUGGGUAGCGAAGAACACCUGUCGACCUUGUCGUAACCAUCAAAGCGCUAUCUCUCCCAUACUUCUGACAAACUUAUCUUUCCAACCAGGGUAGGAGUUGGCGUAGGGACUCGAUAUAUUCUUUCCCGAAAGCCUGAUAAGAGUCCCCCAACCAUUUGCAGGCAUUAUCCUGACACUAAAAGAAUAAUAGAAUAUCCCCGUAAAGGGAGUAAAUUCCAUCCAACGACACUGAAUUUUAAAGGCCCUAAUAAUUCUACACACAUUGGGUGUAACCUUGGAGGGGGCAAUGUUUUCAAUUGAUAAGACUUCAGCCUUGAAUUGUGUAAAAGGGAUUAAUACCCCCAAAUAAAAAAUAACAGGAGUGAUCCGCUGUCGCACACGGGUCAAAAACGAGUUUAAAAGUGUAGUAAAUCGGAAGUGACACUCGAAUAUCGUAUCACAAGGACUCUUGAAUGUUAUAACCAAACGAAUGAAAAUAAGGGGGUUUUUAAGGUUCAAAACUUAAAUCGAUGAUUAUUAAAGGUAAAAUCAAAAUUGAUAAAUAAGCUAAUCUAUUGUAUCGAUUUCCGACUUAUCAUCGAUCUUAUAAUUUCAAUUCCCUAGCGGAUUCAAUCCCAUUCGAUUACAAUACCCACUGACAAGCGCAAAUUGUAUUAUAUGAUGUAUGUUCCUAAUUUCCGAAUUAAGCAAACGGAUUUAAGCAACGUGAAUUAAGCAAACGCGACUUAAUCAAACACGAUAAAACGAAAAAGCUACGCUAACGUGAUUAUAGUUAAGGAUCAUACAAACAAUCAAAUUUAAUCAACUAUAUCCUAUAAGAAACAAUCGAAUUAAGCAAACGAAAGUAAUCGAAUUAAGCAAACGAGUUUAUAGGAAGAUUUGAAAAGAAAUUGAAAAUAAAUUGAAAUUAAUAAAAACCUCAAAGUGGAAUUCGAAUACAACAAAUCAACUUGUUGGGAAUUAGCUCUCUAUGAAAUCUUCUAAGAAAUAUUGUAUUAUCAAAAUUCAGAAUUAAGAUUACUAUACUAGUGAAAGACCUAAUAUAAAAAGGCAAAUUCGGGCCCUUAUAGGAUCCGACCCGAAAAUUACAAAAACUGGCUCAAACUAACUAUUUUAAUUAAGUCUGGAACUUCAACGAAUUAUUCGAUCAUUCUUCAUUCCGAAUUUGAUUUUGACUUCAACGUAAAACUUGUAGUUAUUUCUCUUAGCUUUCCAACGCAUAUUAGAACGCGUCAAUCCGAUUCCUAUAGCCCAAGUUAUGAUCUGCAUAGUGACAAGAUAUCAAAUAAUUGUUUAUGCUGAAAAUAAAGUACGAAAAUAAAAUAAAACAAAAAAUAAACUUAAAUCUAAAAACAUAAUAAAAUAGUAAAAUAAGUAAAAUAAACUAAGGAAAUGCCUAAGUACAAUAGUAGAAGAAAGUUCAUCAAAAUGCACUGAUCAAGGAGGAUGAAAAUAAAAUUACUGAACAAGUCAACCACCCAAGAGAGGGAUGUUAACUCUCUUCUAUUUAGGACAAGGUUCCAGGAUCUCAUAUUCUUCAUGUCCAAUACUAGAAAGACCAAUUACCGCUCGAAAGGCCUUAACUUUUUCCUCAUAAGAAUAUAGGGACGCAAAGUCCUAAACUUUAUCGCGUUAAUCGUCUUUCGCCAUUUUAAUUGCGAUAAGGAUUAUAAGAAGCAAUAAUUCAAUUGAUAAAUUUCUCUGGGUCCCUGUUUACAUUAUCAAACUUGGGUCAAAUAAAGGCUAGGAACGAGUUGCUAAAUCGUACCUGCAAUGUUAAUCGAGAACUUGAAAGAUAUGUCUCAGUUUCUUGGAAGAAUAUUGAGCAUAUAAAUUGGAAAGGAAGAGAAUGCAGGUGUUUAUAAGGGUAAAGAAGACGAGAGUGGUAACCUCUCCCUUUCCAAGUAUCUUAACAAUUGCAAAAAAAGAGGAAAAAAUCCUCUGAAUCUGACGCACACACAUGUAUCAAGGCCAAACUAAUUGUUUCUUAAUUGUUUAUGUUUUCAUUUUUGCACUUUUAUUUCUGCAAAAUUUCCUUCUUGUACUUUUAAAUCCAAGCAAUAAAUAAAAGUAAUGUUUUUCCCUUCCGAAAUGUUUAUUUGUCUAUUUCGUAAAAGUUCAUGGCAAAAUCACACACACACAAAACAUCUUUUCAAACUGAUUUUUAUCAAGAAAAUACUUUUUAAAAUAUCUUGAAGUUGUGUCAAAUGAGUUAGGAGUUGUCUAAAAAGCUUUGGGGAAUUUUUUGCCUUAACAAAUUGAUUGGGACCUUAUCCCAAUAGAUUGGGAGAGUUCAAAAAUAUGCCCUAAAUGAUUAGGACAACAUAUUAAUGAUGUACAAUGACUGAAUAUCUUUUAUUUCCUUUUUGAACUUUAUAAUAGAUUAUUUCAUGAUAUUUAAUUGAUUGGUGUUACGUGUUAAUCGAUUAACAAGCUUUAAAAAGGAUUAAAAUCAUUUUUUUAGCCAACAUCUAGCCUAUAAAUAAAGAUCCCUUCCCUUAUUUCAAAUUAUCCGGAACCAUGUUUUGACACUUCUCACUCUCUCCCCCUCUCUCUAAACUUUUCUUUUACUUUCUCUCACCAUGUGUUUAGUCGAAUUGCUUUUUAAGAAAGUUCUUUUGUGAGUGAGGAUAAAUUGUAAUUCUGGAAGGAUGUUUAUUUUAUACAUUGGUUGAACAUUUUAUCAUAUUAGGGAUUGUUUGUUUGAGUUAAAAGUUAAACUCGUAAAAAGCUUUGGUUUGAGGAUUGUGUGACCAAACUCUUGUUUAGGUUCAAAAGUUCAACCCGUAUUAAAAAUUUUCAUAGGUUCUUGGUUAUCCCAUGGCAAAUCAAGGUUAGGUUAAAGCUUAUCCCAAUAUUAAAAGUUUGGAUAAGGUUCAAGAUUAUCCUGGUAUUAAAAUCUCUCAGGUUAUCGGUUAGUCUGUAGUAAAAGCAAGGUUUAAGGUCCGUGAGCUCAGCCUGUGAUAAAAGCUUGCAAAGUUUGUUUAGAAGGUUGAAGAUUAACCGUUUCAAUAUUCCUGUGGAAAGAAGACUAAUUGCUUCAAUCUACUGUUUGGAAAGAAGACUAACCGCUUUGAUCUGCCGUUUGGAAGGAAGACUCACCGCUUCACUCCGUUGUUUAUUGUUUGGUUAUAAGUCAAUAUUGAACUCCAUUAUUCCUUGUGUAAGGAAGGUUCGCGAAUACAACCUACUAAAAGCUCUCGAGUUUAUUGGAUUCUCUCAAUAUCAAUUUUUGAGGACAUGACUAAGUCGUUUUUUCAUUGAACCUGUAUAACUUUUGAUUUUCAUCUCUUCCCUUAACUUUUUACAUUUAUGCUGUUUUAUUUUCCACGGCUUAACAUUAAAUUAAAUGUUAAAAUAUUUUUAAACUCUAAUGUUAAAUCAAAAAGUUUUUCAAAACCAUAUUUUCCGGAACCAUAAAAUUCACCUUCCUCCCUCUUAUAUGGGAAGUCACGUGUCCAACAACUAUCUCCCAUGAUUUUUUGGGUUUCAACCACCCAUUCCCGCAAGAGUCGAGGGGGGACUUGCUUCACUUGAUCCAAGAUCUCUAGGAAACUAUAAUUACACGACACCUUGUUACUUAGGGGACAAUCUCUAACACAUAGAUAAAUCAACCAUACAAAACUUCUCGAUUUGUCGUGUGUGAGUUAACUUUAAUUCUCAAACCUCUGAUAACCGUUAUCCAUUUGUGAUAGUCAUGCUCAUAGUAGAUUUAUCCAAUACACUAAGUUACUUAUUGCAUGGAUAGUGGUGCAUAAUUCUAUAGCUAUUAAUUACAACUUAAUUGAAAAAGGAAUGCAAAAACUUUCAAUGUGCUCUCUUUGUAACCCUAACGUUGAAUCAGUUGCUCACAUUUUCCUAGAUUACAAUCAUACACUAAGGUUUUGGACUUGUCUUGCAUAGUUUCUUGACAUAAACAUCUAAUUUUGAAAAUCUUUUUAGCAUUGCUACUUCUAGAUGGAGCUCUUAGCUUAGAAAUCUAAUUUUGACACUUAUCAUUCUCAUCAACUAUAAAAUUUGUCACACUAGGAAUGACAUUAUAUUUAAUCAAAGUAAAAUAGACUUUGGUCGAGAAUUGGCUCACAUCAAGCAAUUGAUUCACAAUGCAUAUUAUGAAAAUAAUACUUGAACCUUUAGGAAAUGACACAAAAACUACUCUUCUUUUUCUGUUACAUUAGUUCAUUGUACAUUAAAAGAUCAUAGAGAAAAAUGUCUUCAAUACACUAUUCUUUAUUUUCUCCUUGAUUUCCAUGAAGUAUAAGCAGGUUCAUAUAAUUGUGUGACUUAUUUUAUGGAAUAACAAUUUCCUUUUCUCAAAAUUCUUAUUUUCCUUUCCUUGAUCCUAACUCUAAACUUAGCAAAAACCAACUACUUUGAUUAUUUAAGUUCCUUUAAUUACAUGAAUAUUGAUUCUAAGGAGUUAUGCCAUGCUCUUGUAAAUACUUUUUGACUUUUUUUGAAGUUGUUGUUUAAAAACAGAAUGAGAUACAAAGUUAGCAACGAGAAUAACUAACAAACUAACAGACUUUAAUCAGUUGCAAACACCUAGAGUCUACAUAUCAUCAACAACAAAACACAAGUUAGUUAAUCAGUUAUACAAAAUCCUAACCUAACACAUUCUCUAUAACUAACUUUUCAUCCUUUUCUUGAAGUUAGUUAGUUAGUUAGUUAUUCAUAUAGUACUUAUCAUUCAUAUUCAUUCAUCUUCACUCCACACACAGUUGCUUUCUUUCUCCAGUCCCCAGAGAAACAAGCUAGUGUUCUUCACAAGGCAAGUGCUAUUGCAAUACAUAUAUGUAUAUCUAUCUAUCUUUAUCAAGAAACUCACAUUCUUGUAUUUGUUACACAGAAUAUGGAAGAUAAAGUUGACAACAAACGCAAAGCUAUAGUGGCACCUAAAGAUGAUAAUGGUCAUAAUCAGGAUCUUCCAGCUCCCUCCAGAAAAGUAAAAGUACUUAUUGUGGACAAUGAUCCUCGCACUCUAAGGAUUCAUGAAAACCUAUUGAAAUCACUUGGUGUGGAAACUCGUACUGUCAAAGAUGGAAGAGAAGCCAUAAACACGACUGCUUGGAAUGAUUAUUCUCUUCCAGCCUAUGACCUAAUUCUCAUUGGUAGACAGUUACCUUUGAUAAAUGGGAUUGAGGUACGUAUAGAAAGAUUCAUUUUACAUUCAUCUUGUUUCUGUAAUAUUGCGUUUGCAUGUAUGCAUGCAUGCAUGAAAUCAUGUGUUUUGUUUAUCAAGGUGACGAAGAGACUGCGAGCUAUAGGGUACCCUAGCAGGAUUGUUGGAGUGACACGUUCUCUAACAGAAGCUGAACGGGAAGAGUUUCUGAGUGCAGGGGUAGAUGAUAUAGUUGAUUAUGAGAAGCCAAUGUCCAUGGAAACGGUUAAGAUGCUACUUGCAGCAACUCCCCGUCCCCGAGUGUGGAGGGAAAAAGUUAUUUAUGAUGAUGAUGUUAAUGGUAAUAGUUCUGGUUCUACUUCAGGUUCUAGAAAAGUUUCUAGAAAAGAUUAAUUAGCAUGGUCUUUUGGGGAUGAUCCAUCCAUAUUGUACAAAAAUAUAAUAAAUGAUCGCUGUUUAGGAUCUUUUUUACAUUAACUUUCAUGCAGUUGUAAUUAACUUCCAUAUAGUAUAUUCUCAUUUCUUAUUAAUUAUGUAAAUGACUGUGUGUUACUGUUGAUGAUGAAUGUGGAGAAUAUAAAGAUUGUUUAAGAGCAAAGAUCAAACUAUCAAGUACAUCACACCAUCUAACAUGUGAUUUUCUAACCCAUUUAUGCAUUCUGCUACGCUUUCUAUCAUGCACAUACAGCGGGAGUUAUAAUUAAAAGAAUAUACUGUAUUUGUCCUGAUUUGGAGUAAAGGAUGGCUGAAUCGGUAAGGGUGAUGAAGACUAUUUUUUCAAAUGUUUUCAACGCGGUUAAGAUGGUUCUCACGUUAAGGGAGAGUGUACUUACGACUUGCAUGGGAGAGUGUACUUACGACUUGCAUAAAUAAAAUGUUAGCAUUCUAACACUUAAAUUAUUAAAAGAUUGAAGUGAAAUUUUGCAAGUGUAUAUCGAAUCGUAUGCGUGUUUGUGACUUAAGGUCGCACUUAUAUAUGAAAGACCGUUGUAACCGUCUAUAUAUUGUCCAGUGUGGAACAAUGGUAACCAUUGGAUCAUGAUCUAAUGAUUCAGAAAGAUAGGAAUAUGCGCUUCUACGUGGAUAGUCGAUCUUAUGGGUCAUGCACUACAAGAAAAACUAAUAUUAGUUGGGCAAUUUUGCUGAGUGAAUUUCACCUAAAAAAAAUACGGUUGUCGAAAUGAUAAUCACCUCGCAAUUCAUCUAUCCAAAUUAAAAAAAUAAUAUAUAUUUUUAAAUAUAUCACCUCGCAAGUCAUCCGGAAGAAAAUGGAAUUUUUAAAAAUAAUAUUUGAAAGGUGUUUUUUACCUCACAAAUCAAUUUUUGAAAUUUUAAAUUUCAACUUAAAAAAAGGCAAUUCAAUACAAAUUUUAAAAAAGGCGUGUCAGAAGGUUGCGAGGUACAAUUAAUUCAAUAAAGAUCACAUACAUUGCGACGUGUUUAACACCCAGCAACAACAUGCUUUGCAAGGUGUCUAACACUCUGCAAUGUUCACAUGCAUUGUGGUGUGUUAAACACCCCGCAAACUGACAUGCACAGUUUCCAAAAACACUGCAAAGAUCAUAUGUGCAUAUAGUCUAUUUAUUAAUCGAUUUUCUCUUUCUUCAACUUCAUAAUCGUGCUUUCAACAUCUUCUUCUUUCACAAGCACACCAAUUUUUUUCAAAAACUUAAUCUCAGUCUAAAAUUCUAAAUUCUGUCAUCUUCUCUAUUCUAGUAUCUAACUUUUCAUUAAGGGUUCAUUAUCAUAUAAGGUACACACUUAAUUUUAAAAAAAAUCUUAUCAAUAUUGAGUUAUUCUGAUUCAAAUUUGUUUGUGGAUGUUUCUAUAACUGUUUAUGUUGUUUUAAAUUUUAUUUUUGCAAAUAUUAUUUAUGCGAAUAUUAAUUUUGUUUAUGUGUUUAUAAUGUUUAGUUGAGAUUUAUUAUUUAUAACUUUUAGUUAGUAUAAUAUGGUAUUAAUUCUAUUUUAAUUGAGAAUAUUAAUUUUGUUUUAUAUAAAAUAUUAUUAACAGUAUAUAUUUUGUUUUAGUUAGUAUAAUAUGGUAUUAAAAUUUAUAAUUAGGAAUAUAAAUUGUUGUUAGGUGAUUUACAUUUGACAAAUGAAUGAUUUACGAGGUAAUUUUCAUCCGGCUAAAUCAUGCAAACAAAAAAUUGUAAUAUUUUUAUUAUUUUAAGUAUUUAUCAAAUUGUUAUUGUUAAUAAAUUCUGAAUUUAAAUAUUAUUUAAUAAAAAAAUAUUCUGUUAUAGUAUAUUGUUACAAAUUUAUUAUAAUUAAAUUUGUAAAAUAUAAAUAUAUAAGAAUAUUUUAUUAUUUAAUAAAAAAUAUUUUAUUAUAUUAUAUUAUUACAAAUUUAUUAUAAUUAAAUUUGUAUAAUAUAAAUAUAUAAGAAUAUUGUUUUAUUAAAUACGUUUAAAAUUUAUCAAGUGAUUUUCACCUAACAAUUGCAUUAAACGUUGUCGAGUGAAUUUCAUCCAGUAAACGAAUGAUUUGAUCAAGGUGAAUUGCACACACCAAAACUUGCGUUCUACACACUGCUAUGCCCACCUGCUCUCUUCAUGUUUGCGUUGUCUGCUCUCUGCACGCUUGUGUUGUCUACUUGGGAAAGUAAGUUGCGAAGUGAUAUUCGCCUAGCAACUUGCAAAGUGAUAUUCACCUAGCAACUUGCGAGGUGAUUUUCUCUCAACAAAAAAGUUGCGACUAACGUUUUAGCAAAUUGAGUGAAACACGUGAAUUUUGUACGUUGCGAGGUGACUAGCACCUAGCAAAUUUAAGUUUUUUUUUAGUGGUGGUCUAACCUCACUACUACAAAAAAUACAUGUAAUCUCGGAUGCAAAGUUGAUUUAAUCUCGGUUAAAAAUAUGAAAUAACGAAGGGCGUCAUGAAAAUUUGUCACUUUAUCAAUCAGUUUAAGAAUAACCGAGGGGUUAGUUGAAAUGGUCAUGAGUUCGAUCUCCAACAAUAUAUUUAUUAUAUUUUCCAAACUAGCAUCAUAUACAUCUUGAAUAACAAAGCUGAAGGGAAAGAUAUAUAUAUAUAUAUAUAUAUAUAUAAUUCGUAUUACUUUGUUUACACAUAAUAUUAAUAAAUUAAUUUCUUUACAAACUUCAUUGUUUACACAAAAUAUUGCAUUGUUUACAUAGAAUAUUAAAGUAAAAAUAUUGAAUAUGAUUCAUCGUCAUCGCUAUCGGUGAAGAACAAAUGUUGAAUAUCUUGGAGAAGAGAAAAUGUUAGAGAUCUCCGUUCCAUUGAUCUUGAGGAAGAUCAAAUGUCAACCUUGAACCCAAAUAAUUUUAUACUGUUGCAAUCCAUCCUUGAGAACUUUUCGCAAACAAAAACAAACGUCUUUUUAAGCUUCAAAGUUUUCAUGUCAAAUGUUUAAUUAUCAAACUUUAAUAUUUAGAAUGCUUUUAUAACGAGGGUUUUAGGUGUCACGAGGAUCACUAAUGGUAGUGACUUGAGCGUUAAUGCUCAUUAAAUGAAUGACAAAUAUUUGUUUAUAUAUAUAAUAUAUAUAUAUAUAUAUAUAUACAUUGUUUACACAUAAUAUUAAAAUAAAUUAUUUAAAUAAAUCAAGAUUUUGACAAUGGAUUCUUGGAGAACAACAUAUCUUUUCAAAUUUAUGAUAAGUUAUAUAUUCCAACAAAGAUUUUUUAUGUACUUGCAAUCCAUCCCAAAGAGAUUUCAUUAUCUUGAGCAAAUAUUUUCAUGACAAAUGCUUUCACAUGAAAGAUAACUUGAUGAUUGUGUUUAGGAAUAAAUUUCUCACUCUUCUCAACCGAGAAAAAUAAUAAAUUUCUCAAUGUUUUCUUUGAUUGACAACAUAAGAAGGUUAUUACAAAAACACAACAACAACGUCAACAUAAUUAUGUGAGAUAGAUUGUAAGGGCGGGAAAAAUAUUUUGUUCAAGAUUGAUGAACAUUGAAGAUUUUUUUGGUCUUGCAAUUCAUCCCAAAGAAUGAUGCUUAAGACUUUGGAGUGGAUAUAUAUAAGUUAGGUUUAUAGUAAAAUCGGUUUAACAGAUAUGAUAAUAUAAUCUUCCGGUUAUUAAAUAUAACCGAAGAUAUAAAUCAUUAAUUCAAAUUUAAAAAUAAAAUAAAAAGAAAGACAUUACUUUUAAAGAAAUAAAAACAUAAAUUGGUGUUGAUGGGAUUCAAAGCAUGUCAUGAAUUAUAUUUCCCCUCGGUUAUAUUUAGAAACAUAUGGAUAUGUGGUAUUUAUUAAAAAUAAAAUGAAACAUGACGCGUCUUGACAUUUUACCUCGAUUUUUGGUUGGGUGAGGUGAAAGUUUUGUCAUGAAAUAUAUUAUUUGUAGCAGUGCCUAAAACAAUUGUCCCUCAAGUCUUUUAUGUCAGUCAUGAAACGACAAUUGUUUAUAUAAAAGUAUGUGAUCUUGUCCCGUAAGUCUGAAUCAUGGUGAUGUCGUUCGUUGAGUGAAAACUCCUUGCUUAGUGGGAGCAGUUAUCAUGCAGAGCAUGGGCAUUAAAUGUGUAUCAAGUUGAUGAAACGCUUUUUUUACGAUGAUGGUCUUUAUGUGCCCCAUGUGCGUAGGGAUAAGGGUGAUGCACUUAGGGACACACAAGUGCAAUUGUCAUUUUGAGAUGUGAUAUGAAUCAUUGGGCGACUUCUUUGAACUUCCAAUGGAUCAUGGUAAUUGAAUCUUGGUGUUACUUUUAUAUAAAGCGGGAACUUUUGUCUCAUUCAUACUUUUUGAAUUAUCUAUUAUUGGUUAUUUUGGGAUUUACUACAUUAUGCAAAACAACAUGGAGUUUGUUUAAGUUGGUUCUCGUGAAGAAGGGACACGUGUUGAACACGAUGUUCCAACAUGUGGACUGUAACAUUUGGUCUCUUGGAAACAAACUGAUGAAAAUUACAGUUGGUUAAGAUUUUCUCUAUCCAAGAUUCACGUCACAACAGAAGAUCUACUAGAUAUGGAGUGAAGUUAAUUUGAAUGUACUGGUGCAACAUGUGGAAUACGAUGUUCCAGCAUGUGCAAUACAACAUAUGGCCUUGUUUAGUAAGCCUUAAUGGACGGUUUGCAAUUUUUUUUAUUGAGAUUCAAUCUGAUUUGCUGCAAUUAUUUUAGCAAUGUUUGGUUGAUUUGUUUAAUAACUGAAGAUGUUAAAAUAAGAUUAAAAUGUGAUUUAAAUUUGAAUUUGAAAUAUAAGAAAUCAUAUCUUUGGGAGAGAUUUAAGGAGAAAAUCAUAUCCAAUUGAUUCAGCUAUUUUCUAGACGAAUUAAAUGCAGAUAUCCAAGAAGAAAAGUCCAGAAGACAUUGAUAUAUAAGGAGAUUCAAUUCUCAUUAUUUGAUAAGAGUUUUGGUGCGCAAGAACUAGGUUCUCUGUGCUAGGGUUUGAGUCCUUUUUACUUGUAUUCCAUGCUAAUUCCAUAACUAGAUUAGUGUUGAAUCUACUAUUAUACACCACUAUGUUUCAGUAACUUGGCAUAAUUGUUUUAUCUUAGUUGAGUUAUAAUAUUCAACAUUGUUCAUUAAGUUGUAAACACCAAUCACGGGCUUUGUGAUUAAGAAGAAAGUGAGUAGGUUCUCAUAUUUAGGGGAAGUCCUUAAAUAGAAAGACACUAGGAUUAUGAAGAGGCUUUGAAUAAUAUAUGAGUUAUUGGUUCUUGUAAGACUAAGUGUACUAAUUCAAAGUAGUGGAUUUCCUCUCAUAGAUAAAGUGUCCCCCAUACGUAGGUGUGGUUUCAUCGAACUAGGUUACCAAUCACUUGUGUUAUUUUUACAGCUUUCUACAUUGUUUCCUUAUUGUUGUCUAACUAUUUUGGUAAUGGUGUAAAAAGUUUAACAAAUUGUCUCAAUAUCUGGUCAAACAUCUUUCCCCUAAGGAUUAGAAUUUUAAUUAGCAUCAGAGCAGACACCCUGUUCUAUUUGGGUGAGCUCUAGGGAAGAUAUUUUCUGUUCAAAUGGACAACACUAAGGAUUAAGGGUAUGACAAUAGACCACCUGUAUUGGAUGACACAAACUAUGAUUAUUGAAAAGCAAAAAUGGUUGCUUUUCUCAAAUCCAUGGACAAUAAAACAUGGAAGGAAAAAAUGCAUGGGAGAUUGUCAAAACGGCUCAUAAAGGCACAUCUAAGAUUGGGAUGUUAAAGUUGCAGCUCCUUACGACAAAAAUUGAGAAUCUGAGAAUGGAUGAAGAUGAAUCUAUCUCUGAUUUCAACAUCAGACUUAGAGACAUUGCCAACACCUCUUUUUCCUUAGGAGAGAAUAUGUCUGAAGAAAAGCUUGCCAGAAAAAUCCUAAGGUCUCUUCCUAAGAAGUUUUAUAUGAAGGUAAUUGCAGUAGAAGAAGCCCAAGACCUCAACAACAUCAAAGUUGAUGAACUCAUUGGUUCUUUACAAACCUUUGUGAUGGCCUUGAAUGAUAAAUCCGAAAAGAAGAACAAAAGCAUAACUUUUGUGUCCAACAUUGAAGAGGAUGAAGAUCAAGGUGAAGAAAGUUUUCCAAAGGCUAUAGCCCUUGUAGGGAGAAAAUUCAACAACUCCUUACAAAAAUUUAAUAGAAGAUGGAAUACAAAUGUCCCAGACAAGGUGUCAGACAAUAGUCCCUUGAACAUAUGCAAAGGAAUAAAAUUUUAUGAAUGUGAAGGGUUUGGACACAUUAAAAUUUUAUGAAUCCUAGUCAAUUUUUAUUUAAGGAAGGCUUUUGGCUUUAUAAGAUCAAGUCAAUGUUUUCUUUCCCCUUAGUAAUUUUACUUAGGAUGUCAUGCAAAUUUGUCACUUCCUUUUUUUUAACGAGACAUAAGUCUCACAAACUUCUGUUGAGAUUCUAAUAUUGGUUAUUUCUAACUUAAGAGAUUUAUUGAUUUACUUGAGGUCUAGGUUGAAUUUUUUUAAUCCUAUCAUUUUCUUCAACAAAUUUAACACUGAUUUUAAAAUAUUUCUUGUAAGAUGGUUUAGUUACCUCGUAGUCAUCUUUCUCUUAGGAUGCCUUUAAGCAAACUUCAUCUUCUUCGUUUGAAGAUGGUUCUUCUAUGAUUCUCCCCAAGGUCGACUCUUCUUUGUUUAUGAAUGCUCUGUCUCUUCUUCUUUCAAAUAUUCUAUUGGACGAUGCUUCUUCUUCACAGUUUCUUAUAAACGAGGUUUCUUCAUUUGAUGUUGAAUCCUCUGAAGACCGUUAAACUAAUGAGUAUGUUAUUUUGAAGGAAGUAAGGGAGUUAUUUAAUUGGAGUUUGAUGAAGUUAAUGAUUCUUAAGUCUUUGAGCUAAUACCUUCAUCUUUAAGUAAUUUAUCUAGUUCGUUCAAAAUAUUAAUGAUUUUCUGCUUCUUUGAUUUUUACCAAAAUUUACAAACAUUCUCAUCUUUUGAUUAAUGGAUUGAAAUGUAUUUUCAAUUCUUAAUUAUUAGAUAUUGAUUAGUUACAAAAGUUCCAACAUAAUUUCUAGCAACUUUAAACUUUAAAAAAUAUUGAUGAAUAGUAUCUUCAUCUUCUUUGUCUCGUGUGUUCAUCUCCUAUUGUUCGAUACUUGGAGAAACUCUAUAUAUCAUUUCAAGAGUAUCCCAUAUUUUCUUGGCGAUUUUAGAAUUAUAGAUAUAAAGAAGUUUAUUAUCAUCUAAAGGCAUCACUAUAAAGUUCUUGGCUUUGAAAUCUAUUUCAAAUUUUAUCGUUUCUUCUACGGUCCAAAGAAAAUAAAAUUUAUCUACUACGUCUCUAUCUAUUUGGUGAGUAGGAAUAAACAAACCUUUGAUUACAGUUUCCUAAAAUUAAAAAACAAUACUUUGAAUAAAAAUUCUAAAUUUAGCUUUCCAUAUUUCAAACCUAGCACCAUUAAAUGGUGGGGGUGUGUUUAGAAAAGAGCUCUUGUUUAAAGAUGUGUUAGAUGACAUCUUCCUCUUAAGACAAUUAUUCCUUGAAUACGAGUUAGGCUCUGAAGCCACUUAUCAGAUAUAAGACUCCACAUACAAGAUGAGGUGAGUUAUGGGUUUCAGAAAAACUUGAGUUUGAAAAAUAUUUAUAAAUAUUUUUAGAGUUUAAAAUCAUUUUUAAAAUGUUGUACAAAUUAGCAGCGGGAAUUAAGAAUGCAGAAAAUAAAAUGCGGAAUAUAAAAAGUUAAGGAAUAAAGAGAUAACACUCAAAAUUAUAGAGGUUCGGUCAAAAAGAAAAAGACUUAAUCUUCUCCCCAAGAUUUGUUCUUGAGAGUAUCAGGUAAAUCUUAGGAGGUUUUAGUAAGUUAAACAAUCGAACCCCUUAAUAUAAGAAAAAUAAAGUUUCUAGCUAACUUCCAACCAAACAACGAACAAUGAAGUGAAACAACUAGUCUCCAAGCUAAACCGAGAUUUUGCAUGAGCUUAUCUCGAACCAAGAUGAACUUUUAAACCGGGCUGAACUCACAAACCGAACUGAGAUUUUGAAUAGGCUGAUCAUGAACCACUAAUAUUUUAUAUCGGGCUUAUCUCGAACCUAAGCAAGCUUUUAAACCAGGUUAAGCUUACAAAUAGAACUAGGGAUUUUAAUAGGAUCACCACAAACUAAGUUGAUAUUUUAUACCAUGUUGAUCUCGAACCGAUGAAAACUUUUGAAUAGAAUGAACUUACGAACUGAAAUAAUGACUUAGUAACUAAAUCCCCAGACCAAAGCUUUUAAAGGGUUUAACUUCAAACCUAAACAAAACAAUCCCUUAUGAAUACAUUAUUCAACCAAGUUAAAAAUGUUCCUUGGUGAAUUUAAAUAUUACCCUUCUAGAAUUACAAAGAAUUCUUUACUAAACAAAAUGAUUUUCUCAUAAGCGUUAUGACUAAAUAUAAGUAAGAGAAAGGUGAAAAAUAUUUUUAGAGAGAGUGAGGUGUGAAAUAGAGGGCUAGUGAUUCUGGAUGUGAAAAUAUGAAGAAAGGGACCUCUAUUUAUAGGCUAGAAGAUGGUAUAAAAAUGGAAAUUUUCUUGGGUAAAAAUUAAUAGGACAAUCAAUUGGCAUCUUGCUUCAAUUGACUAGAAGACUUCAAAUUAAUUGUUUAGGAUGUUUGAAAAGGAAAAAAAAUAUUUGUUUCCGUUCAUUAAGAAAUUUUCCUAAUGACUGCUUUUUCACUUACCCAAUCGAUUGGGUAUAGGUGCGAAUCGAUUGGACAUACAAAUUUUAUCCAAAAUCAUUUAGACAAUUCAUGAUUCAACUAACAGGACUUCAAAACAAUUUUAUGAAUAACUAUUUGAUAAAAAUAGGCUUGAAAACAUGUUUUUAGUGUGUGUGUGUGAUUUAGACGUACAAUUUUACGAAAAAUAUCAUUUUGCUUUUACAACAUAUUAUUCACUCAAACACGAUAAUGCGAGCUUUCACAUUUCGAAGCUUUAAGACUUGUCAGAUAAUUGCAUCUUAUAGAAACUUGUUUGAAUUCUACUCGGAGAUGAGGCUUGAGUUAUAUUCCAUUUAAUUGCCAUCAUCAAAGGAUGUUCGUAGUGAUCAUCAAAUGCUAUUAAGUCUGAUUGCAUCUUUAACCGCUUGUUAUGCUUGCAUUUAGUUGUCGUCAUUAAAAGCAUAUUCGUCAUGAAAACUUCCUUACCUGCAAAAUAUGAUUCCACAAGAUGGACUUCACACGAGGAUUGACCACAUGCUUGCGCAUUUGCCCCGUUCAAAGGGAAUCAAGUGAUAGAGCCGUACAUGGUAUUUAUUGAUCGAACUCUAGCAAAUGACAUAUACUUUUUCCUGUAUGACAGUCCCCGUCAGACGCAUCCAUUGGAUGAUAUAGCCUUUUACUCUUGAUGGUUAGCCUGUGGGUCAUGUUUGAUGUAUCCACAUCUUGAACGGGUCAUGUGACAGUUCGAGUUUCUUUAGAUUAUUCCAAGACCUCCAUCUGUGUCCGCUCCUUUGACAAUCCGCCACAUAGAUCUUCAAAUAAUCCUUAACUAAUUACGAAGAUGCAUGUACAAAACACCUUUAACUAAGUACGAAGAUGCAUCUUCAAAUAUUUUUUGUUGUUGACAAAUUUAGGGUGGACGGUUCAUUUAUAAAGCAGAAAGUGUCUUUCGGAAUUAAUCUAAAAAUGUAUCUAUAUGAUUAUUUUGGAGUAAUUCGGGAGAUCAAUCUCCCACCAUUUUUUUAUAAAUAUGAGGUGAAUGGCUUAUUUAGUAGUGACUAUGUACAUUUGAAGGUGUAUUUUCAAAAUAAAAAAAAAAUAAAAAUAAAAAUAAAAAGUUAAAAUUGGGUUUUAUGCUCAUUCCAUGGAAGGAUAAAGUAACGCCUUUAGAUUGUAUCCCUUCAAAAGUAUUCUAAAACCAAAACAGGGUUUAUGCAACAACCAAUACACAAAGAAGGGUUUAUAGAAAAGAUGAAGUUAUUCGAGGUGAAAAAAGCAUGGAGCAGCAGCGUUAGAAUCGGAGCACUCGAAUUCGGAAACUGCUCCAUAGAAACACCCGCUCUUCUCUUAUCAACCCGCAAAGGUCUCCCUCAUUUCACACCUCCUGAUCUUCUUCCUUCUCUCCCCUCUCCCGAUUCUCAUCUCCUUCAAGUCUCGCCACUCCACUUGUAAUAACCGCCACUUUCUUCAUCAUCGUCGCUCUUUUUAAUCUUCCUUUUGCUCGCAUUGUUGAUUUUGUUUGUUGUUGUUUUUGUUGUUGUCUAGUUUGGAAGGACUUUCUCCGGCGACUAUAGCGAAAAUCGGAGGGGUUCAUAAAUUGAUUGCUUUGCAUGAUUAUGGAAUUGCUGCUGUUGCUAGGGAUUCUAUUUAUUCGCUCCCGGAAUCUAAGGGAGCUAACAAAUUUGGUGCCACUUUCGAGACUCCGUGUGGUAGGCUAUUGGUAAGUUUAUAUCUUACAAAAGAUUGAUUCUCUGAAGCACCGACACUUCUGGAAAAAAGGUGUGUCCGUGUCAAUAACCGAACUUGUCAAUGUCGGUGUUUUAUAGGUUUGGAUUUAGUUCAGAAUUACUUAUAUGAACUUGUUUAGUGAUUUAAACACUUGUCACACAUGUUUGCGAGAAUAACUUAUAUAUAAGUGCUUAUGUUAUAAGCUUUUAUUUACAUAGCAAUUUGAAUAAUUGCUUGAUUAAAUUGUUCAUUGAAAUUCACCCUUUAUCACUUGUGAAAAACUACUUAUAAGCUUGAAGAUAUUCUUGGAGUUAAGUGAGAGGGCUUAAAAAAUAGAAUGCAUACAUAGUUUGAAUAAAUCGUAGUUAUCAUAACAUUCUUUGAAUAUUUUUCGUUGGCUUGUUUGGAAUUACAACUUGAUUAAGCGUUUGUUUAUCAUUAAGUGCUGAUGUAUAGCCUAUUUUUAUAACAAGAUACCGGCAUUAAGUCAAACUAUUUUUAUAUAAGUUAUUAGUUGUUUUCAUAAGUUGUAUUAGAGAGCUUAUGGAAAUAAACUCAAAAUAGCUUAUGGAUAUGUAAUAACUUGUUUCCAUAAGAUUUCUGAAGUAGUCUCACAAGUGUGUAUACCAGUAGAUUAGUUGAAACAAGUCGAUUAAAACAAGCUUAUCCAUUAGUACUUCGUGAGAAGCUUAUCCAAAAAUGUAUAUACUUUUGCUAUCCACAUUCUUUAGUUUUACUUUUAAAUAAUGGUGGGGAGAAUUUUGAUGUAUCUUCUGAUUCUUAUUUGACAUGGCUAGGUUAAACCCAAAGAUUAUCUUGUAAUGAUAUCUUGCAUGAGGCCAAACAUAUGGGCUACUUUGGCUGAUGAGGUACCUGCUUGGGUGUCAGAUAAAAGGAACAAAACCUCGGUGGAUAGAACUUUGAGAUGGCUUGACGAUUGCCUGGAAUUGGAUCCGGUAAGUGACGCAUUAUGUUUUUCUUCUCUAGGGAUAUGAAUUGCAUUCUUUAUGAAAAUUUUAGUAGCUGAAAAUGCUUGUGGUUUUGGUUCAUGUUUGUUAGCAAGAUGCAAGAGAUGCAAAAAUAAGUUGUAAAUUCUAAAUAGUAAUGAAUUUGAAAAUGUUGUGAUCCUAAAUCUGUUGAGUUUAUAUAUAGUUUUGUAAUCAAUAAGUCAUCAUGGUAUUCAAGAAGGACUCUAGAGUUUAGACCAUUUAGCAUGCCUUGGAUUGGAUUGAUAGAUUAUUUAUAUGUCAAGUGGCAUGAUCCAAAGAUGAUGUAGUUAUCUCUUAGAGGAAGUGUGUUAAGUACAUCCGUGGAGGAAGUCUGUUGAAUGCAGAGUUUAUAUUCAUUUGGAUCCUAAUGUCAAACAACAUCAACUAAAUUAAGGGAAGCUGCUAUCACACCUAGGAAGAUGAAGAAGAUUUGUAGGAGGCAAAACUGCUUUAGUUUUUCAUCAAAAUCGAGGCAUGCAUUUUUGAAUGACGUGGAUUGUCAUUAUUUAAACUCACCAUGUGGGCAAUUGAAUGUGGAUAUCUCUGAAGUACGAGUACUUCUAAAAUUGUGAAGUACCGAACCAUGGUCAUGUUACUUCAUUUUUUUCAUUUUUUUCAUUAUUCUGUUUCAAGUGAAAUUUGUAAUUUUUUCAUAUAUUAACAUAAUAGAUUUAUGUGUUUUAGUUUUUUUGUUAUAGUAACUUAACAUAAUAUUUUAUUUUUAAAAUUUUUGUUGUGGUGUUUUAUUAUGAAUUGAACAAUCUAGUUCUCCACUAAUAUAUUUUAUAGAGAAAGUCUUAUUUUUAAUACACAUACCCGUACUUUGAUUUUUUCGUACCACCGGAUACCGUAGCCGUACCUAUGCAUCAUAGGUGGAUAUCCUUAUCUUGAAAUAUAUUAAAGGAUCUUUGAGAAAUAAAAGGUAUUGAGAGUGUUUGUCUGUUGGAAUGUGUGUUUUCCUUGUUUUAUUAUCUAAAAAGGAAGUUGAGUAAGGAGUGAGAUGUGUAAGUAUCACUAAUCUUAUUCAUCUCAUUAUUCAUCUCAGUAUCGUGUCAUUAAACUCUAAGCUUAGUAUAAUAGUUUCAAUUUGAUAUUAGAUAUUUAGUCCUGCUCUCCUUCAAUUUUUUUCAGCUGUAUUUAAUAUAAUUUCCUGUCUACAACGAGCUCUAUUAACUAAUUCAACGUGAUUUGGACUCUCAAAAUUUAGGCUGUUGGAUCAGUUUUUGGUGCCAUAGUGGGGGGCCCAAGUUUGGAUGAAAGAAAGCGAUGUGCAGAGGAGGUAGCCAAGCGAAAUGUAGCAGGUUUCUUUUUCUUUAGUUGUUUUUCUGCUAAUCAUCUGGACCUACUUAUGAAUAAUUAUGUUCAUCCGUUCCAUCCUCAUAAGCCAUUUUUAUGCCAAUUUAUUAGACUCAUGUAGUUUGUCUAUGCAAAUCUCUACAUUAUAUUUUAGGCUAGUUAUCACAAAUAAAAAUAAAUCCUAAUAAUCAUCUAGGAUACUCUAAAUAUAAUAUAGAUAUUAUUAGAUAUUUAUCAAAUGUUUUAAGAAUGAGGUAAACUUCUAUUGAUGAAAUCAAUUUUGUGAUGUCAUGUGAUUUUCCGGCACCCAAUUAUGUUUUCAAUUUUUUUUUAUGUAUAUUUAUUUCUUUUAUUUCUUCCAACCCAGCAGAACGCAACCUUGCUGACAACCUGAAACACAAAUAUUUGCUUGUAUUGUAUUCUUUUGGCAUAUUUAGUCCCCAAGUCCCUUAACUUAAUUUACUGUUUCGCUUUAGUCCCUUAACUAAAAAACGUUAGUCCCUAAGAUUCACUUCCGUUACUCUAUUUGGUCCAUUCCGUUAAAUUCUGGCAAAAAAAAAAACGUUAAGUUAUGGUGACGUGGAUGUACAACUAGGCUCAAGGUCCAAAUGUGAUCAAGCAUUUGUACUAUAAAAUAGGGUUUCCACUUAAGUUUCUCAAAUUAUCGCUAAAAUCCUACCUUAUAGUACAAAUGAGUCACAUUUGGACCUUGAGCCUUGCAGUACAUCCACGUCACCAUAACUUAACUUUUUUUUGCCAUAAAUUGACGAAAGGGACCAAAUAGUGUAACAUAAAUGAAGUUAACGGACUAACUUGUAACGUUUUUUAGUUAAGGGAUUAAAGCGGAAUAUUAAAUUAAGUUAAGGGACUAAAACAUGUAUUAAGCCUAUUCUUUUCAUCUAUAUGAUUCAAAAUGACUACUAUUUAUUUUACCAUUAGGGGAAACAUGUUUUGGCAGAACAUGACUUUCUUUUUAGUAGAAGUAAUAUUAGGAAUGUAGAAUUACCAAAAGGAAUAUAAUUCUAGCCUAGGGAAGGGGUAAGAAUUAGAAAACAUUUGUACCACAAAUCCCACAAUAGAGUUUCAAGCAAGGUGGGGAUGAGCGUUUGAAUUGUAAUUUGUGAUAGAAGAGUCUCAAGUGAGGGAAAGUCUUACUGCAUAUAUGUAGGACAUGCAAUGUUGUAUAAGAUUGAAUGUUAUAAGUGAUACAUAAAACAAGAUAGGAUUAUGAAUGAGAUCAUCAAACAGAAAGAUAGAGUUGCACUUAUUGCGGGCCUGUGAAAAGAGCCCCGUCGAAGCAUCAAUAAUGUGGGUUAGAUUAGAUGGAGUAUGAUCCAAUAGUUUGAGUUGGAGGAAGAUCAAGGAAAACAAUAGGUUAAUUCAUUAAGAAAUUUGGACUUAAAUGGACAAUUUUAGAUAUGAUAUUUCAGAGUAUCAUGGUGUUGUUUAACCCUGGUAGCUUACUCGGAAUAGACUUUGAUUGUUACAUUGUGUUGUUUUCUCUUUAUGUCAUGUGAUACAUUUGAGACACCUAUAAAUGCCUAUAUUUUGUGUAGAUAUGGUUACAUAACUCUGGUUAUUCAUGUAGGUUAUUGGAUUGGUGGAUUUGGUCUUGGAGAGGCCAUUGACGAGCGACCUGCUCUUCUAUGUGCUAUUGUUGUAAGUGCAAUCUGCAGUACUUGUUCACUUCAUUAAGACUUUAUUCAAAUUGGAUUUAAUUUAACGAGUGAUAGAUAGAUGCUGAAAUUAUAAUACAGCUAAAAAAAAGCUCUCCUUUAUAGUUCUGCUCGGCAACAGAGGUAUAAAAACUAUGCAACAGUUAGAUAUAAAAACUUUUGAUGAAAUUUCCCCCAGAAUUUUAUGCUUUUAGGAGAGUUGGUCCUCGACAUAUUUAUGACUUUUGAUAUAACAAAGUUACCUUAUUCUCAGGAUGUCUUGCCAAAUGAAAAGCCGCGCAUGAUCUGUGGUCUUGGACUCCCAGGUAUACAACUACGCAAUUCUUCAUGUUUAGUGGCCUGCUUUGCUCAAUGGAUGUGUUUAUUCUUUUAUUUCUAUGUUCUUAUCUUAACAUCUGCCUCAAUUAUCUUACUUUGGCUAAUAAUUCAUUGAUAAUGAAUUUAUCACAUGUCAUGAACCGACUAAUGGAAUCAACUAGAGUUAUAUCAUGCAUGAUUAAGAACUUUUAGUCAUUAUGAUGGUUAAAUCAUAUACUAGCUCCAUGCCUAAAUAUAAGACCCUCUUGGAGAUUUUUACCUCUUCCUUUUUUUAUGUCCCUUUUCAAAAUUUCAAAUGCAUCAAUUCUUUUUUUACUAACAGACCCUUAAUUAUGUUACAUCUUUUUUUGCAACUUACAAUAAAUAUUAUAGGGAACCAAAAACUUAGGGACGGAGGUUGUAUAUGAUUCUGUUGACUAGGCAUUUAGUUAGUAAAAAUAAUCAAUCAUUAUCUUUUGUUCACUCUUCCAUGCUACUAAUCUAUUCCACAAGCUUUUAUUGUUUGGUGUAGAGACAUGAGUGGUUUUUAUAUUAUCUCUCCAAAACAUCUGUUUACGAGAAAGCACCGUAGGCUAGAAGCGCGGGCAAUGCACAGGCUUACUUUGACUGUGCUGAAAAUUAUUUUUUUAUUAGAUGAUGGUGGCGGUUAGGGGUGUGAACUCAAGAUCAUUUGGUCAUAGAAGCUCUGACAUCAUAUUGUGCACCAUUUAUUGAACACACUUUUGAUUAAGUUUGAAUAUAUACAAAUUUGUUGCACAUAAAAGCUUACUGUAACUUUGCAGAGGAGAUCUUGCAGGGGAUUGCUGCUGGAAUUGAUCUUUUUGACUCAUCGUAAGUACCUAUUUCCAAUUUUUGUUUGUUCUAUAUAUACCCCUAUUCACCCUGGUGCAUUAUUUCACGUAAAAUUUGGAUGGUUUUUGUGAUUACUCAUAGAUACAUCUAUACCCUCACACUUGGAGGAUUUGCGCUAACCUUUUCACUGGACAAGAAUGGGAAUCAAGAUAAUUUUCAGCCAAGUCAGAUUGGAAGUGACUCGAGUAAAAUUAAUUUGCGAGCGACAGUUUAUAGGUAGCAUAAUCAUUUUAACUGCCGUUUGUACUUUCUCAAAUUCAAUCUUAUGAUUAUGAUACUGGGUUGAAGUAUUAGGUCGGUGUCUUUCACAGAUUUUACUAAACAUUGAUAGAAAAAGGCCAUUUAAGCUGCAGGGUAAGUUUCAAAACAUGGUUAUAAACAAUAAUGACUUCAGAUAUGCGAAAAUUAGAUCUAUUGACUCUCAAAGCUAGUGAUUUUGGAUGUCUGAAUACUAAAAUUUUAUCAUUGUGUGGUUAUAAACCUAAGACUUAAUGCCUUUAGAGUAAUACUGAAAACAAAUUUUUAUUACCUUCAUAAAAUACAAGUCCAAAGGAAUAUGAUUAAAGCAAAGGUUUGUUUUUUGUUGUAAUGAUUAUGAAAACAAAUGAACUGAAGAUGAAAACUGAAAAUAAAACCAGCAGUAACAAGCACCUUAUUUACUAAUUCCUCUGCUUGUGUUUCAUUGCAGGAAAGACAUGUCUCCGAUUUUAGGAGACUGCACCUGUCAUACAUGCCAGAAUUAUACAAAAGCAUACAUCAAUCACCUAUUCAAUACUCAUGAAAUGCUGGCACAAACUCUGCUAGAAAUGUAUGAUUUUCAUUGCUUCAAAUCUUCAAUGAUACUCUUGAUUAAAUAUAUGACACCGACACGUGCGUGUGUACUCUUGAUUAAAUAUAGGACACCGACACGUGCAUGCUUGUGCGUGUGUAGCAACCAUAGUUACACUUAUACUUUUUAAGAUGAGUUAAUAUUGUUAUGGUGAAUACUGCAGCCACAAUACACACCACUAUCUUAGGUUCUUUCGUGUGAUAAGAGAAGCAAUCCAAGAGGGGAGGUUUGAGGAAUAUCGACAGACAUUCAUCGAAAGCAGGCGCGGGCAUUAUGAAAGGGUUGUGGUCUGUGGAGAUGUAGGGUGGUUUGACAGAAUAUCACGGUUUGUUUUUAAGUGCUGUGCGUUUUAACUGACAUUAUCCUGUUGGGAACCUAUGUAUCUUUGAGUUCAUAGAAAUUUCAGAGUAAAAAUAGGGCAUAGAAAUUCUGACAAAGGUCGAUUACAUAGUCUACGUUAGGUUGAGACUAGAUUCUUUUUUUAUUUAAAAAUUAUGAAGUCAAAGUUUUGUAAGGGAGUUGCUAUUUGCACCCUCCUGUUUUUUCUUAAUUUUUCCCACUCUUUGCCUAAAUAUAUUAAUUUUUUUCUCGAUUCUUUUUUGCAGUAUAUGUCAGGAUUGUUUCAAUAUCUGUCUCAAAAUUAAUUUCUGGAUCAAAAAUGUGUUUCAGAUACUAAUUUAUUUUAGGAAGUACAUGUUUGGCGUUUUAUGAAAAUUUAAUUUGGACACACAUUUAAGUAUUUAAGUUUUGUUUGACAAAAAUAGUUUAUGGUAGUUGGCGGCUAAUAGUUGAUGGCUCUUAGUUGAUAAUUAUUAUAUGUAAUAAUUGAGAUAAUUACAUAAAUCACAAGAUAUAAUAUUUGAUAAUUUUGAACAACAUUAAAAUUAUAUAUUUCAUGAUGAUCGGAGAUCAAUCAAGACACAAAAAAUUUGUAUGUUCGAAUUAACAUUAUAGUUAUAUUGUAAAAUAAUAGUUAUAUUGUAAAAUAUUAGAUAAUAAAUUUAUUUGUAUUAUUAUUUUAGAUUAUAUAAUCGAAUUCAAAAUUAUAAUGCUGUUCGUUAAAUUUUAUAAUAAAAUUUAUAUAGUCUAAUAUAAAUUGAUGUUACAAUGUAGUUCGUUAAAUUUUAUUAUACAAUGUAUUCAAAAUUACAAUGUAGUUCGUUACUAAAUGAGUUUUGUGGUUAAGGUGGCUGAAAAUUUAAAAACUAUUUUUUUAGUUUUAUCAAACAAAGUCUUACUCUCAAAAGUUUGUUUCCAUGGAGUAAAUAAUUAUAAAUAAAUGUUAUAUAUAUAUAUAUAUAUAUAUAUAUAUAUAUAUAUAUAUAUAUAUAUAUAUAUAUAUAUAUAUAUAUAUAUAUAUAUAUAUAUAUAUAUAUAUAUAUAUAUAUAUAUAUNNNNNNNNNNNNNNNNNNNNNNNNNNNNNNNNNNNNNNNNNNNNNNNNNNNNNNNNNNNNNNNNNNNNNNNNNNNNNNNNNNNNNNNNNNNNNNNNNNNNNNNNNNNNNNNNNNNNNNNNNNNNNNNNNNNNNNNNNNNNNNNNNNNNNNNNNNNNNNNNNNNNNNNNNNNNNNNNNNNNNNNNNNNNNNNNNNNNNNNNNNNNNNNNNNNNNNNNNNNNNNNNNNNNNNNNNNNNNNNNNNNNNNNNNNNNNNNNNNNNNNNNNNNNNNNNNNNNNNNNNNNNNNNNNNNNNNNNNNNNNNNNNNNNNNNNNNNNNNNNNNNNNNNNNNNNNNNNNNNNNNNNNNNNNNNNNNNNNNNNNNNNNNNNNNNNNNNNNNNNNNNNNNNNNNNNNNNNNNNNNNNNNNNNNNNNNNNNNNNNNNNNNNNNNNNNNNNNNNNNNNNNNNNNNNNNNNNNNNNNNNNNNNNNNNNNNNNNNNNNNNNNNNNNNNNNNNNNNNNNNNNNNNNNNNNNNNNNNNNNNNNNNNNNNNNNNNNNNNNNNNNNNNNNNNNNNNNNNNNNNNNNNNNNNNNNNNNNNNNNNNNNNNNNNNNNNNNNNNNNNNNNNNNNNNNNNNNNNNNNNNNNNNNNNNNNNNNNNNNNNNNNNNNNNNNNNNNNNNNNNNNNNNNNNNNNNNNNNNNNNNNNNNNNNNNNNNNNNNNNNNNNNNNNNNNNNNNNNNNNNNNNNNNNNNNNNNNNNNNNNNNNNNNNNNNNNNNNNNNNNNNNNNNNNNNNNNNNNNNNNNNNNNNNNNNNNNNNNNNNNNNNNNNNNNNNNNNNNNNNNNNNNNNNNNNNNNNNNNNNNNNNNNNNNNNNNNNNNNNNNNNNNNNNNNNNNNNNNNNNNNNNNNNNNNNNNNNNNNNNNNNNNNNNNNNNNNNNNNNNNNNNNNNNNNNNNNNNNNNNNNNNNNNNNNNNNNNNNNNNNNNNNNNNNNNNNNNNNNNNNNNNNNNNNNNNNNNNNNNNNNNNNNNNNNNNNNNNNNNNNNNNNNNNNNNNNNNNNNNNNNNNNNNNNNNNNNNNNNNNNNNNNNNNNNNNNNNNNNNNNNNNNNNNNNNNNNNNNNNNNNNNNNNNNNNNNNNNNNNNNNNNNNNNNNNNNNNNNNNNNNNNNNNNNNNNNNNNNNNNNNNNNNNNNNNNNNNNNNNNNNNNNNNNNNNNNNNNNNNNNNNNNNNNNNNNNNNNNNNNNNNNNNNNNNNNNNNNNNNNNNNNNNNNNNNNNNNNNNNNNNNNNNNNNNNNNNNNNNNNNNNNNNNNNNNNNNNNNNNNNNNNNNNNNNNNNNNNNNNNNNNNNNNNNNNNNNNNNNNNNNNNNNNNNNNNAUAUAUAUAUAUAAGAGAGAGAGAGAGAGAGAGAGAGAGAGAGAGAGAGAGAGAGAGAGAGAGAGAUAGAGAGAGAGAGAGAGAGAGAGAGAGAGAGAGAGAGAGAGCAUCAUGAAAAUUCUAAAAUGCCUACAGAUUCUAGAGCUGCAUCUCCGGACGCAUCCACACACAACAUAUGUCAAUUCUGAAUGAUUUCUCAGGAGUUGAGUUUUUUUUAACUUAGAGAUGCAUCUCCAAAAUAUGUUUGUAGAUGUAUCUCCGUAACAUAUGUGCAACAGAAACAGAAAACCAGACAGUUGUAUUUUGACAAAAUAAAAUUAUCAUUCAUAUAACAUAAAAUCAACAUUACAUAGGAUCUCAACAUAAAAUAAAAUAUUACAUUUCAAUAUCUAGGUUGACGCUUCAACAUCUUCACAAUAUCUUCAACCGAGCUUGAAAUUGUCGCUUUCAACUUGAACGAGACUUUUGUUUUGAAAUAGAAAUAUAUAUUCCACAUAAUCCUUACAUAUGCAUUCGUCUUGAGCUCAUAGUUGUUGAACUCAAUCCUACAUUUGUUGUUGACGAUGAACAAUACUCGAGCUUCACAAAUUUUUCGAUUAUCUCCGCAAGGUAGGAGAUUAUGCACUUCGUAUUGCAAAUAUGCAAAAGAGGUGUACUCGUUGAGCUUAAACUUUUGUUCGGGUGUCGCACUGAAGAAGGAGACAUUUGUGACAUAUUUUAUUUCUAUGAAAUAAAAAACAAGAGCCCCAAAAUUUAUAGAAGUUGUAGACAAAUGUGGACCUCAAAAAUUCUAUAGUGUAUAAGUGCUAGUUUCAGAGAUACAUUUUCCGUACCACCCUAUUAUCCUAUUCCAGAUAUAUAUCUCUAAAAUCUCUCCUGAACUAGGCAGAAAACAAAACCGGUGUGUUUUGUUUGGCAAAUGGACAACCUUUUUGGCAAACAUCAAAAUGUAUUAAAUUUUUUGAAAUUGUAUAUAUUAAACUUCAUUAAUAUUAAUACACAAUUACAUAAACUUAAUUGAUGACGAAAAAUUAAAACGAAACGAAAGAUUUGUCGCCGGCUAAAUCUAUAAGUAUGUGUGGUACCCCCUUUGACUUUUGUGCAUUUGAUUCUAGAACUCUUGCAUCCUUUCCAUAAAUUGGUCUGACAAAGUCUCGAAUUUUGUUGUUGAAUGAGUCGUCCGCUCCAUUGAUGCAAGUGGUAUAGAACAUCCCGAUUUCAAAUAAACUUGAACAAAGUGACAUGAUUUUGAAAGCUACUUAAUACACAUAAUACGAUCAUUUGGAUUUUGAGGUGGGGCGGUGCGCUGUGGGAAAAAUGUUUCUGAAAAAUCGUAUCUUGUAAUAUCAAUACAUAUUUUAUCAUACACAUUUGCUAUAAGAUGACUCAUUUUAGGGAAACACGUCCAUUUUGCCUCUGGUGUCGGUCCAGUAAUGCAAGGAACAAGAGACUCAUAAAUUGCAUCAAAGUUUUCUUUCUUUCCGUAAAGUCGUUUGUAUGAUUUUUUAUGGGACCUCAACUCAUGGAUAAGUUGAUGGCGGACAUGUGUGUGAUCAUCUUAUCCUUUACCAAAUCCAAAACAACUCAAUAACAACAAUUACUGUCACCCUAAACAUUGACGAUCUACUCGAUGUAUUUAUGCAUAUAAACCGACAUCUCGUUAAUGAAUAAAUUUUUUGGUGGAGGCGGUGAAAUGGGUGGUUUGCUAAUGCAAUCUCCUUUAAAAAAGCGUUUUUUUUGUUGAGAUUUUGGAGUUGUCGAGCCCGGAAAAACUUUAUCAACAUGUUCAAAAUACGAAGGAGACCGCACCGUUGAAUUGUCACUCAAUGUAAGCUUGAGCAUAUUCGGAGCACCUUUUAUUUUUACCGAUUAAGAGGGUGGUUUUAAGUCAGUGGUUUCCGGACAAGUAAUCUUCCUCAACUGUUCUUUGAUGUGGAGUUUCAUAUUGUCAUCGACUUUUAAAAAUCUCUCUUGUAUCACUUCUCAUUCGGUCAAGAUAGGGAUAUUUGAUUUACCGUCUUUCAUGGCACCGUCAUCAUCAAACCUAAUCAUUUUCCAAUGACUGCAAACUUCAUCCAUUCUUAUUGGGCUACCAAGUUUCAGCUUCUUUGCUAUAAGACAUGCACAUGGUAGACCAUAGGUUUUCAUAAUUGUGAAACCACACUUUGUGCUAUUGGAGCCUACAUUAUCAACUUGUUUUACUUCGAGAAAAAUAUAAUUCAAACCUGCUCGAGAUAUGUUGUCGAUCAACUGGGGAUAAAGAUUGUUGUCUUAAAAUUAGGGCAUCCUGGUGGACUGAAAGCUUCAACGAAGCGGUCCAGGCAAAACAAGGGAUAAAAAUCAAUCAAAAGAGGUCAUCAAAUCCUCAUCAAAAUUAAAGGAAAAGCAUAAAUAAGGUGACUGUCAUUUCAAGAAAAUCUCAUCUUGAAUCCUUAUCUUUACUCUAACAUUGUCAAACUCUCUUGAGAUUUGAAUGGGUAUUACCGAAUUAAUUGAACUUUAGGACUGGAGAUCAUCAAGAAGAAGGGUGAGUUAAAAUUAAAAAUUUGAGUCAUAUAUCAUAUGUUUCAAAAGUCGUGAACCAAGCCAUGUUAAAACCCUUAAAAGACCUGAUUGAGGCAUGAUUUCUUUUAAAAACAUAUUACAACAAGGUUGUGUUAACCUGACUCCAAAAGAUCUUUGCUGAUCAUUUGUGUUGAUCACACCACCUUGCACACUGUGAAUGGAUAGAUCAACAUUGAGUUUUGAUCAUUGACUCAUUCACUGUAUUUCACCAUCAUCUCAAUAAUGAUUGAUUUCAAAAUUUUCAUUUGCAUUGCAUAAAAAUUACCAUUUUGAAUGAACUAUUUUAAUUACAAGUCAGCACUCGGCAUCAAAGGAAUCCCAAUAAAAUCACAGUCAAUUAAGGAACUUGAUCACGUGAAAGAAGUCUAGUCAGGGGAAAAUCACUUCGAGUAUCAGUCAAUCUAAGCUAAUCACUCCAAGAAUCGGUUAGUCAAGAGAAAAUCCAUUCAAGUCUCAGACUGGGGCAAGAUAUCACAAAGAGUUCAAUGGGUCCAACCCUUCAAAGGUGGUCGAUCAGAAGCCUACCAUUCCAAGAAUUUGAUAAUCAGAGGUAAAAUGAUGCAAGAUUCAAACAUUGGGGAAAGUCAUCUCAAGGUCAUAUUAUGAUAAGCUAUUUCCAAACUCCUUUUAAGGUGAACGUCUUCAAAGACCCAACAGACUAGAGCAAGAUACGUUACAGAAGGAAAAGUCCUCUCCUUGCUUUCAAGUUGCUCAAGCGAACUCUGCCACAUGCCAGUGACUGUUAAGUUCAAGACGAGUGCUUGGAAAUCAUGCUAGCACAAUCCAUCAAUCCUCCGAAAGAAUCCUUUUGGAUAAGUUGUAACUGUCAAUCUUGAUAGAAUUCUCAUUUGAAUACAUCUAUCACAAACACUUGGUUGAGUCAUCAGUGUUGAGGAAUUAGAACGCCCACAUUUGCAUAUCAUGUAUCAUGCAUAAAAUCAAAAUUAAAUCAUGCAUAGCCCGAAGUGCACUUCGCAUAUCAUGUAUCAUGCAUAAAAUCAAAAUUAAAUCAUGCAUAUCCCGAAGUGCACUUCGCAUUCAUCUGCAUUGACCCCGGUCUUAUUGUUGAUUUUUAUCCCUUAACUUGAAGUCCGGUUGUUACCGACAUAUUUUAAAGUCCAGUUGUCACUGGCAACCAUUUCCAAAUCCCAAUUGUCAUUGUCACUCAGUUUUAAUCCAAUUCUUAUUGGUAUCCUAAGUCCAGUAGUCACUAGCACUCUUUUUAAAGUCCAAUUGUAAUUGGAAUCUUUGAAGUCCAAUUAUACUGGCGUUACCUAAAACCCAAUUGUCAUUGGCACCUAAAGUACAGUUGUUACUGGCAUCCCCUCUAAAGUCCAGUUGUCAUUGGCCUUCAUUUCAUUUUCAAAAUCCAAUUUUCAUUGAUACCUAAAGUCCAUUAGUAACUAGCACCCUAUUUUUAAAGUCCAAUUUUUAUUGACAUCUCUAAAGUCCAAUUGUAACUAGCCCCCCGUUUUAAAAUCCAAUUGUAAUUAGUACCUAAAGUCUAGUUUUCACCGGCAUCAUUUAAAAAGUCCAAUUGUUAUUGGUACCCGUAAAGUCCAGUUGUCACUGGUCUUAUCUUUGAAAGUCCAGUUGUAAUUGACACCAAUCUGUUAGAAGCUGGUUGUAACCAAUGCUUACGGUCAAUGUCCAACUUUGUUGGCACAUACAAGGAGGUUUUAUUACCCUAUUUGUCCGAAUGUUUCUUAGAAAUUCAUGUAUGACUCUUCAUUUUAAGGAAUUCCCAGAAGAUUGGAAGUUGUUCUUGUUUAAAAGCUCCAAUAUUUUUUUCUUCAUUGGUUUAUUUGUAAAGAAUCAUCACAGCCUUUUGUGUGGAUGAUUUUCUUGUUAGAAAACUCCCGAGUUUUGUCUCAGAUAAUUUCUUUGUAAAGAACCUCCAAGUUUCUUUUUGCGUUGAUGGCUUAUCUUAUGAGAAAGGUCCCGAGUUUGUUGGAUGAGUUCCUUGUUAUAUAACUUCAUUUUUAUUGGAUGAUUUUCUUGUUAGAGAACUCCAGAACAUUGUGUUGGAUAAUUUCCUUGUUAAGGAUCUCCAAAAUCUUCGAUUGAGUGAUUUUCUUAUCAAAAAUCUCCAUAACUACUCAGAUAUUCUAAAGUUUAUGCUUGUCAUCUCUAACCAGUUGAUAACCUUCAUUUUUAAAUAUUUCUCAUUGUCUUUUCUCCAACAAAUUGUUACCCUAGUGUGUCUUCACCCCUUGUCGUUUUCAUUUCCUGUAGAUCUCCAUUACCAUAUUGACAUCAUUCCCCACAUGUCCAUUUUCUAUUCAUCAUAAACAUCGUGCUAGGGUUCACUUCCUAUCACAUCAUAUCCCUAGUAAAUCAAAAUGAAAAAAAAAGUAUUUCAUACAUUCAUAGCAUAUCAUAUUAUUUCAUAUGUAUUCAGGGACAAAAUUUGGAUCAUUUAAUCUUUAACUAUCUCCCACUGCGAUCAUAUGAAGAAUGACAUUUUUCAUAUUCUCUGGUUGAAGAUAUUUAAAUAGCGGCGGUUGUCAUACCUCAACUUUGUCAUAGUAUUUUAAAUUCAUCUGAUACAUGUCUAUUUGUCAAGUUUACAUUUUUAGCCAUAUGCAUUUUUAUCAACAAAUAAAGUAACCAUAAUCAUGCAUAUAUGCAUUAUAGUAAAAAAGUUAACAUAAAAUCAACAUUUUACAUAUUGAAGAAAUAUACUAAAAUUGCAUUUUUUUCAUUAUUCAUUUUGAAAAUUAAAUUUAUGAUCAUUUGAUUUAUCAGCAAAAUAUUCAUUUAAAUUGUAUUAAUCAUUUUCAUUCAUCAUAAAACAAAAAUUAAUGUUUCUAUAAGGUCUAAAAUAUCUCUCAUUUAUUACAUCAUUAUUCUUUACGUAUAUUACAUAAUUAUUCCAUUCAUAUAUUGCAUUAUUAUUCACUAUUUAAUUAAAUAAGUUUCUAAAAGACACUCACACUCUUUGCAUAAUUCUUAAAUUAUAUUUUCUAAAGCCUAUAAAAAAAUCUCAUUUCAUUCACAAAUGACAUCAAUAAUCACUCACAAGAAUAAGCCAAAACUUUGCACAAAUUUCUUUCCAAUUUUCAAGUCACUUUUUAUUAUUAUUUAUUUAGUUAGGUUUUUAAUUUUUGUAUAUUUAAUUCUUUGCAUUAUUAUUCUUGUUGCACUUAAUUAGUACCUUAAUCAUCACUAUUUUGCAUGGAAACCAUUGAUUCAAAAUCAAGAGUUUAAAGUGUUCUUGAAUCUCCAUAAACAAACGUGAUUAAAUAUGAUUUAAUUUUUGUUUAUUUAAUUUUUUUUGCAUUAUUAAUUUUGUCACACUUAAUUAGUACCUUAAUCAUCACCAUUUUGCAUGGAAAUUCCAGUGAUUCAAAAUCAAGAGUUUAAAGUGUUCGUGAACCUCUAUGACUCAAAGUGAUUAAAUAUGAUUUAAUUUUUUAUUAGACUUAAAGAAUAUUUUAUUCACGGUAAGUUUGCGUGUUUUUGUUUUUCGUCCCUGUAUUUUUUUCCCUAGAUAAAGUCCUUAAAUGUUGAAUUUCAUUUGAUUUUAAUCUCUGUUAAAAUCCACAGGUUUCCUGCAGAUUUUAACUUUUAGAACUAAAAUCAAAAGGAAUUUCACAUUCAGGGACUAUUUCCCAGAAAAAAAGAUAGAGGGAUGAAAAUGAAAAACACGCAAACUUACAACAACUAACAAACUAUUUAAACCUUUCAUUAAUUUAAUUUCCUUUACAUUAUUAUUCUUGUUGCAAUUAAUUAAUAUAUUAAUCACCAUUAUUUUGUAUGAAAACUCCAUUGAUUCAAAAUUAAGAGUUUAAAGUGUUCUUGAACUUUCAUGAACAAAAAUGGUAAAAUACAAAUUGAUGCUUGUUUUACAUAAAUAAUGUAUCCAAUAGUUUUCUAAUAUCACCUCGAACAUGAAUUGAUGGUUCGUUUGUCAUAAGGGUGUAUAAGAGAUUGAAUUAAACAAAUAUAUGUUGUUGCAUUUUUGUUGAUUUUUGAAUUCUAUGGUUGUUUAUUUGCUGAUUCUAAAACAUUCAUCAUUCACUUAUAAAACAUUCAACAAAUCCAAAUUCUUUUAAUCGAAAAGGUAUUUCGUCUCUAGACGAUGAAAAACAACGCGUCAUCCACUUGAAUGUGUUAGUAAGCUAGCGACGUUUCCCACAAACGUUGAUUUGUAAAUCCAUUAUGUCGUCAUGUAAACGUUCUCUUCUCCACUUGUUUAGGGUAGCAAACAAUGUUAUUCAUUCGAUGGACACAAAAAUAGUUUUCGCUAAAAUGGACCAACAAACAAAAUAUUUUUCUACCCCAAAAUAUUGAGUUCCUCAUUGUACCAGAAGAUACAUAGGAGAGACCCGCAAUCUCGUCAAGCAUCCUAAUAAAAAACAUUUUUGCGAAUCCUUUCUUUCGCAAAUCUAACUAAAAGGUCAUCGUUUAGUACAACAGACGUGAUGUGCAUUAAUACAUUCCCUUUGUGUAAUCGAUUCCCGAAUCCGAAUUUGUUUGCGACAACCAUUUUCUAUUUCAUUUAAGAGUUUUAUCGAUAUUUUCCCUUUUUUCUUUUGAAAUAAAUAAAAUUCGAUAGCGACUCUGUUCAAUAUCAUUAUCCGCAAGCGUGCGAUUGCCUCACGAAGGACCUAUUUUUUGAGGUACGACAUAGAGAAAAUAAUGUGAAGACUUUUGUGAUGCACAUUGUACCGGUGACCAUUAAUAUUAACAUUUUCGACAAUCAAUAAGGUCAGAUCAAUCUCCAUACAAAUUCUCGCAAACCUCCCAUUUUCUUCGUUAAGGUGUUAGUAUCUUCUUAACGGACGGCCGCAAAGUAGAAACAGGAAAACAAAAACCAUCUGAAUAACCUUUCUUUCUUUUCUCUAACUAAUUCUCUGAAUUUUCCUUUUAUUGAAAUAUAUUUUAUGUUUAUUUAUUUUAAAAUAAUAAAAUAUAUUCUAUGUCUAUUUAUUUAAAAAUAAUUUAAAAUGAAUUUAUCUCGCAAGUAUCGUUCAAAACUAGCUGAAGUAAUCACAGUGUUUGAUUUCUCUGCUCCUUCCUUCCUUCUCUCCCUCUCUGAUAUAAAAUCCAAACUGACGGAUAAAUCGAAUCCUUCUUUUCCGUUCCGCCGCCGCGUGCAGUGACGCAAUUUUCCCGAUAUUCUUCGCACCACUCUCACCUCUAUCUGUAAGUCUGCACGUUGCCUCUCCCUCAUUCAAUAUCACAUUCUCCGAUGUACUUCUUUUAGGUUUUCAUUAUAUUCUCCAUUCGUUGACUUCUCCGAUAGUUUAUGUUUUGAUAUCGUAAAACGAGCAAAGCGAAAUGGAGCGGAACGGAGUGAAAUGGAAUAAAGAUGUUCUCCACUAUAGCUUACUCUCAGCUUACCUUUUAGUUUAUUAAUACUGGUUAAGAGUUGCUUGAAAUACACAUCUGAGAUAAUGUAAAAUGUAAGUUUUUUCAUUAGAUUUGAUGAAAAUUGAGAUUCGGAGUGUUGAAAUUCUAAGUUUGGGUGAGAAGAUUUGAAUGAACAUGGAUGAAAUCUAAUGAUGUGGUUACUUUGCUGCUGUAGACGUGAUUAGGUUACACGGUAAUUGUGAGGCGAUGCCGUUGCAAAGGCUACCACAUUUAUUUGCAGCCUAUAUGAGAUUCUAUAUUGUAUUUGAUAAUUUGAGUCUAAUGAGUCAAUUACUUACCUGUAUAAAAAACAUUGAGCUGUUAAAAAGCUAAAUCAUCAAGUAUUGUGUAAGCAGGGGGUUAUGGCAUCUUCAGCAGCCUUGCGGCUAAACAAUCUUCGAAGACACUUGGAUUUGGACGACACUGCCAACAAGGUACGAAAUAUGGAUUUCUGCAAAUCUUUUUAUGAACUUACAAGUUAUGUUGUUCCGUUUCUAAAACCCUUACAUCCGUUGUGUCUCAAUGUAGUGAAAGUUUGAAACAUUAUUUAUAAGCAAUGUGUAACAUAGGUUUGAUAUGUAGGCUGCAGGAGUAAAUCCUGCUGGAGCUUCAAUCAACGUGAAGGUAGCUCCAGAGGUUUCUGAAGCAUUAUCACUAGGGCGUGCAGUUGUUGCUCUGGAAUCUACCAUUAUUUCACAUGGUUUUCUAUAUUAUUUUAUAUGUUUUUUUGUAUUUUUCUUUUCAUGUCCAACGCCUACAUCUUAAUUUUUUGUUUAUGCUCUUGUUUUUAGGGAUGCCGUAUCCCCAAAAUUUGGAAACUGCAAAAGCGGUUGAAGCUGUUGUGAGAGAUAACGGUGCGGUUCCUGCAACUAUUGCAAUUUUAGACGGUGUGCCUCGCAUAGGUAUUUGUCAUCAUCUUUUAUCAUUCAUUUUAAGCACAAGUCAUUUGAUCUGAUAAGAAUGAUGCAGUGCUUUCAGUUAACUACUUGUGAAUCUCCUUCGCAUGUUUUUCUUGUGGAUAUAGCAUAUGAUGUCAAUACUCAAUUCUGUUCUAAGUCUUCUCUUUAUUCCUACAUAUUGAUGUUGGAUUUGAAAUGGGUGCUUGCUUGCAACUAUGCUGCAAAGUGAGUGAAAAAUAAAUUCUAGAAAUAUUCAUCUCAUGUGUCCACAAACUCUAAAAGAAACUUAAAUUUCAUCCCAUUUUGACUUUGCUGCUGCAAUUAUGGCAAAUGUUUAUUGUAUCUUUUUGUUUGAAUUUGACAAAUUUUCUGCGGUUUGCUUGUUUUAUUUGAAUAGGUCUAAGUGGGGAAGAACUUGAAAGGUUAGCUACUUUGGGAACCAAAGCACAGAAAACAGCUCGAAGGGAUAUUGCAUAUGUUGUGAGUGCUUUUGAUAUCACCAUGGACUAUAUUUAUGUAUAUAUAUCGUUAUGAAUGUUCUUAGCAAUGACAAUCUGUUGGCCUUCUAGCCAAAGAAGUGGAAAGAUGUACUUAUUCAUAGUACACAAUCAGAAAGAAUGGAAAGAUGUACUUAUAUAUAUACUACAUUAUGUUAAAAAAAACGAUUAAAGAUAUUCAGAAUACAUUUUCAUGGUAAUAGCCAUAGGCCCAAUGAUAUUACCAAAAUAAAGCUCAUCAAAUAUGUUAAAGUUAAAGGAAUAAUGGAAUAAAUCAAAAGUUCUUGCUGGCAUCAAAUAAGUCGUUUAUUUGCUUACACCUACUCUCUCAUGCCUUCAAUAAUGCAAGCUUUACUGUUGAUAAUGAUGGAAGUCUUAGUAAUCCUCUUGCUAGUUUUAUCAUGUGCAGCAGUCGUUUCACUGAUAAAAUGAACUAAACAAAUACUGUAGAAUCUUAUAAACUGUCUGAGUUUUUAAAUUUAGAUACUUUUCAUGAGCUAAAUUUUGCAUGACAGGUUGUCAAAUUUCUUAGUCGCUAUGUGAAUUUUUUUUUCAUUAUUUUAAAGUGAUCUAUAUUAAAUAGUCAAAGUAACCUUCAGAAGUGAAGUUUCCAUGUUAAUGCUGUAUUGGCAGAAAAAAUUGACAUCUUUUCCUCAACUAUAACAACUGUGCACCUUCAUGGUCGUUCACUAUUUCGCUAUGACUUUACAUAUUGAUAGUAAUUGAUCUACUUUUUUAGGUGGCUAGAGGUGGAAAUGGUGCUACUACUGUUUCUGGCACAAUGUUCUUGGCUUCUAUGGUAAUUUUCUCAUAUAUUGUAUCCAUAGUUUCAUAAUGUGAUCUGUUUCAUGAUCAGUCCCUAUAAUAAUAAUAUAUCAAUUUGGUUUCACAGUCUGCACUUUUUAAAAUUCUCUGCAGGUUGGUAUUCAUAUCUUUGUGACUGGUGGGAUGGGGGGAGUGCACAGGCAAGGGGAAUAUAGUACGUUAACCUCCUAUAUCUUAACAAUAGAAACAAUCGGUUUUCAAAAUGAAUAUUGAAUGCUGACAAAUCUAGUAAGAUGCAACAUGUUCUGGUAUAAAUUUUCGAACCAAAUGAAUCAUCCUUUGCAUUUUUUUUUUGCCUCAUAGAAACAACAAUUUAUAAGAUAAACAAGACAAGGGAUAAAUGGCCAGCCAAGCUUGGCCUUUCAUAGAAGAGACCUUAAACAUUUAUGUGCAGGCCAAAAAUACUUGUAGUAGUAUUUAGUCCUUAUAAAAGCAAAAUAGGGACCAAAUUUGGACAAAACUUACGUAGAAACUAAACUCGAAAAAUUGUGAGUUUUAUAGGAAUUUAAAACAUAUUUAACUUCAAGUUAUAUAAAAGGAACCAAUAUAUAGUGUGAAUUUAUGUGUAGUAUGAUAUUUUCAUGUAACCCUCUUGAAACUUAAGAACUGAAAAUGUUUUUUAUUUAUGGUUUUUAAUGAGGUUUACAUAAAUAAGACUUGUAUUUUUAUUGAGCAUAUCAUUUUCAUUUUUCUUUGGGCAGCUAUGGACGUUUCUUCAGAUCUCACCCAUCUUGGAAGAACACCAAUAGCAGUUAUAUGUGCCGGUGUAAAGUCAAUAUUGGAUAUCCCUAGGACCCUUGAAUAUCUGGUAUGAAAUUACUUUUGUGAUAAUAUUACUGAAGUAAUUCUGCAUGCUUAAUGGAUCGAGCUUAUAAUCACUUUUUUUUUUAAAUCUUGAAUAGGAAACACAGGGAGUUUGUGUAGCUGCCUACAAGACCAAUGAGUUUCCUGCCUUUUUCACAGCAUCAAGCGGCUGCAUGGUACUUUAAAUUUUGGUUUACCUAAUACUUUCUUAAGCUUGCUGUAUAGUAAAAUCAAACAAUGUUUUGCUCAUAUUUUCCUUUUCACACCAGUGUAUAAAUGCUUUCACACUGGAAGUUAAAUCUGCGAAUUACAAUAUUAGUUUUUCCUUCUUCUAAAUAAAGUGUAACUACUCUCUUGUUCUUCCUUUAAAAAAAAUAAAUAAUAACAUGUUGGGCACAAUACCUCUAAUAAAUGCAAAUAUUGUUUUUGUAAAUGUAAUAUCCAUAAAAUUUUAGCUUUUACUGUAUGACUUGAUUUCUUUUCAAGUUUUGAUUUCAAGUUGUUGACUAUAUAAUGAGUUAUUUUAUUUGGUAAUGUAAAAAUAUCUGAAUAUUUCUAGUGUUUCUUAAUGUAGUGUUUCUUUUUAGUUUUAGGGAUUGAUCAUUCACAAUACAUUUCAAUUCACUGGUUACAAAAUAGGUCUUUUUAUUAGUGAUCCAAAUCAUGAUUUCUCAAACAUGUUUUUGCUUGACAUUAUUAUUGUAACAUUUUAGAUUUGGCGUGUGCGAUUGGAAUGUAAGCAGUAUGACCAUCUGACGUACUAAAAAACAAGUGUAAUUGACAAUCUUUUGUUUGAUCAUGGCAUUAACUUCCAGGUUCCAUGCCGGGUAGAUACCCCUGAAGAAUGUGCUUCCUUAAUAGGCAAGGGAAACAUCGUUAUUCGUUUUCAUUUUUAACAUUUUCAAUGUAAAUUUAUGUUACCUAUGUGAUUUCUUCUAAUUUUUAUUCUUCUAGCAGAAGCAAACAUCAAACUCAAGCUUGGAUCUGGAAUUUUGAUAGGAGUUCCUAUUCCUCAAGAGCACUCAACAUCUGGACAUAUAAUUGAAUCUGCCAUCAAUAAAGCCAUUAAAGAAACAAAGUUCGCUCUCUCGCUUUCUUUCUAUUUUCUUAGACAUUUUGCAUUUUGUAGCUUAUUGACUGGUUCAUGCUAAUGCUUUCAUGAUAAUUGAUAUAUUUAGUAUUAAUUUCACUAAAAUUAAAGUUAAUAUGUGCUAUUUAUAGGGAAAAUAAUAUAUCAGGAAACGCCAUAACUCCUUUCUUGCUUGAUAGAGUAAAUGCACUCACCGGGGGUGUCUCCCUUGCUUCAAGUAUCCUCUUUUGAAGUUUUUCAACAAUACAUUAUCAUAGCAUAACAAGCUAACAGUGUAUAUUUUAAAUCAUGUUUUAAUUUUAAUAUGAAACUUUUAUUUGUUAAUAUGAUUUACGACCUUGUCCAAAUUAAAUAUUUCUUAACCAUAUUUAGACAUUGCUCUUGUGAAGAAUAAUGCCCAACUUGGGGCUAAAGUCGCUGUUGCCCUUGCUCUUCUAAGAGAAAACAGUCAAAGGUGAGUUUAUAGUUUCUUGAUUUUAUGAUUGAAACUGAUCCUUACCAAUGUAAAAUUUGAAUGUUCCUUUACAUGAUCCUAAAAAUUCCAAAGGGUUCCUUACCAAUGUAAAAUAUGAAUGUUCCUUUGCUGAUAAUUCAACUCACUCAUAUUUACAGGAAACAAGAGACAGAAUAGCACAAUAGAAGAUAUGUUGAAGAAAAUGUUUUAUUAGCUUACAUGGCUGGGAUUAAGAAAUUUUAGGGACAUAAAUUUGUUUAACUGAAGUGUUAAUCAGUAUCUAUUUAUCUUACACCAUGUCUGGCUUUGGAAAGAAACAUGGAGAGUGGAAAAUAAGGAGGGUUUCACUUGUUUGGCAGGAGAGAAGGGAAAGAAAAUUUUAAGAAUUGUCUCACUUUAUUUAAUUGUAUAGAAUGUGAGAGGAAAAUUCAUACUGUAAAAAUUAAUUUUACAAAAAUGUUUUCUUAAAUAUUAAAAGUUUAUAAUUUUUUUACUUUUGAAUUUCAUUAAUAUAAAUAUAUAUUAUUGAAUCUUGAAAAAUAGUUAAAAUUACAUAAUUCAAAAAAAAAUAAAAUCAAAAUAGCUUUUAAUUUUAAUAAUAUUUUAAAAUUUUGAUAUUCAAGAAAAUUUAUAGUGAAGUAAUGAAAUACUUACAAUAAUAUUUUUAAAAAACUGUUUAAUUUUUUUAAAAUAUUCUUAAUAAGUUUUUAUAAAUAAAACUAUAUAAUAUUAUAAAAGUCAUUAAAAAAAUUAGAAGAAUCUGAAAUUGACCUAAUAUCAACUAAUAAAAUCAAAUGAUGUGUAUUGGAAGGUAAUGGAUGUUCAUCUAUGUAAAUUUUUCAAUAUUUUAUCUUCAACUAAUGUGAUAUUUAAAAUAUUUUUAAUACAUCUUUCACGGUCACCCAACACUCUUUUGAGUUUAGUGUAUGAAUAUUAAAGAUGAACGGUCUAUGUCCGAUUGAUAGACUCCGAUACCAAAUUAAAGUUUGACCUAAUUUACCCUUAUAAAAUCGAUUUAUAAAGUGAAAUAUGUCACUUUAUAUAAACUCUUUGAAUAUUCUAUUUCAAACUAAUGUGGAAUUUAAUAUCUUCAACUACAGUUUCACAUUUGUCUUUUUAAAAUAUUUGUUUUUUUUUAAUAUUAAUAUAAUAUUUAUUAUGAUUUUUUAUUAAUUUAUUUUUAUUUAUUGUAUUUUAAAUAAUGUAAUUAUUAUACUUUAUUUUUAGUAAAGUUAAAUAAUAUUCAUUUUAUUAUUGAAAUCAAUAAAAUUAAAUAUAUAUUUAUGUAUAAAUAUUUUAUUGCAUGCAUUAUAUAUUUAUUUAUCUCUUAAUUUUUUUUUACUUUCAUUGGUUGAGAUAAAGAAUUAAAGGAGUUUAAAGGUACUACAACAUUAUCCCAAAGUGUUUAAACAAUGUAAAUUGAGAAAUGCCAUUCCCAAUCAUAAACCUAUCUCUUCCUCUUCCUUCUCAUCUCAAUCUCAAAAAUCCCUCACAAAAACAACCAAACUUCAACAAUUUCAACCCCUCACAACUCCACAAAGCCAUUUCAACCCUAAACCUAACUCCAACAGAACCCACCCCUAACAAACUCAUCACCUCCUCUCUUCUCCUCAAAGCAUGCAUCCGAACCGGCAACUCCCACCUCGGCAAACUCCUCCACCACAAACUCACCCACUCCCAACUCGUCCUCGACUCAGUCCUCCUCAACUCCCUCAUCAGCCUCUACUCAAAAUGCGGCGACACAGAAACCGCACUUUCCAUUUUCCAAAACAUGGAUACAAACAAAAGAGACAUCGUUUCAUACAGUUCGAUGAUUUCUUGUUACGCAAACAAUGGAAACUCGUCGAAAGCAGUUAAUAUGUUUGUUGAAUUGCUUCACCAAGAUGGGAUUUUCCCUAAUGAAUAUUGCUUCACUGCGGCCAUCCGUUCGUGUUUGGAUUCGGGGUUUUUUGAAACUGGGUUGGGUUUGUUUGGGUUUGUUUUGAAGGCGGGUUACUUUGAUUCUCAUGUUUGUGUUGGUUGUGAGUUGAUUGAUAUGUUUGUGAAAGGUGGUGGUGGGGAUUUAGAUUCUGCGCGUAAGGUGUUUGAUAGAAUGCGUGAGAAGAAUGUUGUUACUUGGACUUUGAUGAUUACUAGGUUGGCGCAAUUUGGGUUUCAUGGGGAUGCUAUUGGGUUGUUUUUGGAUAUGUUGGUGAGUAGUGGUUAUGUGCCGGAUAGGUUUACGUUAACUGGUUUGAUAUCGGUGUGUGCUGAGAUUGAGUUUUUGUCAUUUGGGAAGGAAUUGCAUUCUUGGGUUAUUAGGUCUGGAUUGGCUUUGGAUUUGUGUGUUGGGUGUAGUUUGAUUGACAUGUAUGCAAAAUGUGGGUUAAUAAGAGAUUCUAGGAGAGUGUUUGAUGGUAUGGUGGAUCAUAAUGUGAUGUCGUGGACUGCGCUUAUUAAUGGAUAUGUGCGAGGUGGGGGAGGACAAGAAAGGGAAGCUAUGAGAUUGUUUAGUGAUAUGAUGCUUCAAGGUUGUGUUGCGCCGAAUUGCUUCACGUUCUCGGGUGUUCUCAAGGCUUGUGCUAGUCUUCCUGAUUUUGGGUUUGGUGAACAGAUUCACGGGCAAUCGAUUAAAUUAGGCCUUUCUGAGAUUGAUUGUGUAGGGAAUGGUCUUGUUAGUUUGUAUGCAAGGUCUGGCAGAACGGAAUGUGCUCAAAAGUGUUUUGAUGUUUUGUUUGAGAAGAAUUUGGUUUUGUGUAGUGGGGUUGAUGAUGAUGCAAGUGUGAAAGAUUCGAAUUUGAAUUCUGAACAAGACUUGGACCGCAAAAUUGAUUACACUGGAAAGGGAGCUAGUUCAUUUACAUAUGCUAGCCUCUUGAGUGGUGCUGCUUGUAUUGGUACAAUUGGUAAGGGUGAACAAAUUCAUGCCAGGGUGGUGAAGAUGGGAUUUGGGACUGACCUAAGUGUAAAUAAUGCUUUGAUCUCUAUGUAUUCCAAGUGUGGAAACAAAGAAGCUGCUUUACAGGUCUUUAAUGACAUGGAGGAUCGCAAUGUCAUAACAUGGACCUCUAUCAUAAAUGGUUUUGCAAAGCAUGGUUUUGCUACAAAAGCACUAGAAUUGUUCUAUGAUAUGCUUCAAACAGGUGUGAAGCCUAAUGAUGUAACUUACAUUGCAGUUUUAUCGGCAUGUAGUCACGUCGGUUUGAUUGACGAGGCAUGGAAACACUUCACUUCCAUGCGCAAUAGCCAUGGAAUUGUUCCAAGGAUGGAGCAUUAUGCAUGUAUGGUUGAUUUGUUUGGUCGAUCUGGAUUGCUUUCAGAGGCUAUUGAAUUUAUUAACUCAAUGCCUUUUGAUGCCGAUGCAUUGGUGUGGCGAACAUUUCUCGGUUCUUGUCGGGUUCAUGGGAACACCGAGCUUGGAGAACAUGCAGCAAAAAUGAUUCUUGAACAGGAACCUCACGAUCCGGCUACCUAUAUACUAUUGUCGAACUUGUAUGCUUCAGAAGGGCGUUGGGAUGAUGUUUCAGCCAUUAGAAAAAGAAUGAAACAAAAACAGAUUACAAAAGAAGCAGGUUCUAGUUGGAUUGAAGUUGAGAACCAAGUGCACAAAUUCCAUGUAGGAGAUACUUUACACCCUAAAGCUAAAAAAAUAUAUGAAAAACUUGAUGAAUUGGCUUUAAAAAUAAAGAAUGUAGGUUAUGUUCCAAAUACAGAUUUUGUUCUUCAUGAUGUGGAGGAUGAACAAAAGGAACAAUAUCUAUUUCAACACAGUGAGAAACUUGCAGUUGCGUUCGCACUUAUUAGUACACCAAAUUCAAAACCUAUAAGGGUAUUUAAGAACCUUCGUGUUUGUGGCGACUGCCAUUCGGCGAUAAAGUAUAUAUCAACUGUUACUGGAAGAGAGAUUGUUGUGAGAGAUGCAAACCGGUUUCAUCACAUCAAGGAUGGUAAAUGCUCUUGCAAUGAUUAUUGGUAAUCCACAUAUAUCCACAUGAGUUUCAACUUGGCCUGUAAAUUUUGUAGAUUUAUUCACCUUCUUGUUGCUUAGACUGUACAAAUGUUGUGAAUGUGGAAGCUCAGCUUUGAACUACCAGCCGAUUGUCAAUGACGGUGAAAUAGAAGCAUUUAUUUUUCCAUCUGUUUUCAGAAUGUUGAGACAUGAUCCUGAUCUUAACUUCAAAUAUUUAUUAAAACAGUCUGUUAAUGAAAUUUCACCACCACUGCAAAACAUCAAAAGCCUGAAAUUAUACAAAAAUGAGUAUGUUUAUAUAUGAACUUCGUUCACAAAAAUGGAUUUAACAAUCCAGACUCAGCAGUGGCCUAGGGCCUCCUUUACGCCUAUUUCAUUUGAGUUCCUCCAUACAUUAUAAAUUCGCAUCUCUGCUAAUUUGGUUUUGCUAUGUACAACAAAAGUUUUUCAUAAUAGGAAGACAUUAUGGUAGUUUAAACCGUUUCAAACACAAAUCGCCGCUCCAAGAGUUCUGUUAAAACACCCUUCAUCUUCUCAACAGAAACAGGUUUCAAAACAAGGCCAUUCACACCAGCUCUCGUACAGUUUUCUCUACUCCACUUGUUGGUGUUUCCGGUGAGAGCAACUAUAAGUGGUCUAUCUUGACGAUUCACGAACUUCUCUUGUAUACGAACCGCUAAUUCAUAACCAUCUAACCCUGUACAAACAUCCAUGAAGACCACUUUGUGUUCCUGCGAAACAACACGCAUACAUUCUUCGCUCGAGCCUACAGUAGUGACGUCGCAUCCUAAAUGCAUAAGAAGCCCCUUUGUGGCUGACCUGCUCACCCUGCAUUACAAGUUUCGUCGUGCGUUAUGAAACAAGCAAGCAAAAGAGUAAACACAGCAAAUAUAUCAGCCACUAAACAAUUCUUUUGAUUUAUGAGUUCUUUAGAUUGCAAGUAGAAGGUGAAUAACUGAAUAAGACUGCAUACAUUAUGGAUAUUUUCUUUUCAAGCUAUGAAGUGAAAAUGACAAGGAACAUACAAAUUGUUAAAUAUAAACUCACGUAUCUCCACCAAAGAGUUUAAAUUUAUACUAGAAAUAUUUAUUGAUAUGGUUUGGACAAACAGCUUAAUUAAAAGCUUAUAGAAUAAGUGCUUAUCAUAUAAGGUAUUUAUGUAUUUCUAUAACAAAAGAUAAAAUAAAGUCAAACUGUUUUUAUAUAAAUUGUUUUCAGAAGCAAUAUUGGAAAAUUUAUAGAAAUAAGUUGAAAACAACUUGUGGUAUAUAAUAAAUUAUUUUCAUAAGUUUUCCAUACUUGUGACAAUAGAUAAACUCACAGAAGCCAAUACAAAAAGGCCCGCAACUUAAUACACCAACAACCACCAUCAAGUCUUUUGUUAUUAAGUGGAAUCAACUAAAUAGAUCAAACUAUGUCAUAGACAAUAUUUUAAAAACCAAACCAGACGGUUGAAUCGGUUGAAUUGUGAUCUAGCAGUCUCUACGGUUCAGUUAUUUGAACAGUUCAAACGCAGUUUUGUCCUGGUUCAAUAGGUUUAAAAUUGUCGAACCAUGACCAGGAGGUCCUACUAGUUUGUUAUUCGGUUCAAUUUUUAAAACAUUGCUUCGUCUAGGGAUUGUAAAUUAAAAACUUUAGCAAUUAUACCUUGAUGUAUAUAGACUUAUUUACUUUGGACUAGUAACAAGCAAUAUCAGCAUUCAGCAGUAUUAUCAUGCUUUCAAGAAUAUAUUCGAUCCGGACUAGUAACAAGCAAUAUCAGCAUUCAGCAGUAUUAUCAUGCUUUCAAGAAUAUAUUCGAUCCCAAGACAUAGGGGCUUAACGCUUAAAGUAAGAAAUCAAGCUUAGUUUACUUUUCUAAAAAAUAACCAGAAUACUUAAAUAGCUAGUAAGUGACAUAGUAACAAAUUUUUGAACUGAAAGUGUGGAAAUGAAGCUGUUACUGACCCAUUAUCAUCCAUGACGAGAAUUUUGAGACCGGCAAUGUUUGUAGAUCCAUGGUUUACAAGAGCUUUAGGUUUAUAAGGUAGCUUAAACUCAUUUGAUCGGUCUGGGAUUCCGAGUUUUACAAUAAAACUGACUGUACAUCCUUUACCAAUACCCUCGCUUUCGAUCCAAAUAUGGCCUUCCAUGAGAUUCACAAACCUGCUCACAAUUUAAAAAUAAUGUACACAAUCAAUAGGAAAUCACAAAUAAGGAUUUUGAGGGGAGCAAAUUCCAAUUUUGUAAUGAUAUAAUUACCUCCUACAAAUUGCAAGGCCAAGCCCAUUUCCAACGGGAUUUCUUGUCGCUAAUUGGUUUUGUGCAAACUUAGUGAAUAACUUCGGGAUAUCUUGUGGACUGACUCCUGAUCCUGAAUCUUUUACCUAUAAUGCGGUGGAAAAAAAUCAUAUUCCACCGGAUACAAUACGCCACAGAAGAAUAUUAGUCAAGCUUGAAGAAACAAACCUGUACUCGCAAAUAAAAAUGGCCAUCACUUGGCACUGGUAGGAAAUCAGGAAAUCUGAUAUCCCGGAAGGAUUCAGGCUUUGCAACAAACGCGGUGAUUGAAAUGCUUCCCUCUUUUGAGAACUUAACAGCAUUACCAACAACAUUGAGAAGAGUUUGCAUGAGACGCUUUUCAUCACCAAUUAUAUACACCGGCAAAUCUGAUGCGAAAUGUAAAGUGAGUGACAGCUUUUUAACACAUGCAACAGGUUUAAUCAAGUUAAGCACCUGCAAUCAGAAUAACAAAAUGUAACAUCAUCAAGCUUUUUAAGAAAAUCAAAGAGCUUAUGAGCUACAAAACAGACUACUACAGUUGAGUUUUUUAGGAUUUGCACGAAAAUGUACCUCUCUAAACAUUGAAUGAAGGUUAAACGUUGCUGUUUCAAGUUGAAAACUGCCAUCUUCGAGCCGUGAAAGAUCUAAAACAUCGUUGAUGAGUGUAGCCAAUAGAUUGCUGCUUUUCAAUAUUGUUUCCACCAUCAAACGUUGCUCGGCAGUCAUAUCUGUUUCCUGUAACAAUGAAGAGAGUGCAAUAAUUGCAUGCAUCGGAGUUCUCAUCUCGUGAUUCAUAACAGCCAAAAAGUCAUUGCGAGCAUGAAUUGCAGUUUCUGCUUCUCUUCUAGCCAUAUCAAGUGCAACAUUCUGCUCCAUAAGCUGGUCCCUUGCCCUCAUCGACUCUUCUAAAAUUGCAGCAUGCGAAAGAGCAACAGCUACCUGGUGUAGGAGACAAUUGUAAUAAGUAAUUUUGGUCUUAUCAAAAAAAUAAAAGAAAAGCAAAUGACAUGUAAGGAAAUAUGAUUGAAAAGGAAAUGAAUAAAAAGGAAAUGAAUAAAAAGGAAAAUUACUAACCUGAUCAGCAACUACCUCAACGAGCUCUAACUCAUGUACAUGCCACUGUCUAGCACUAUCAGAUGGAAGCAUCAAAACCAUCAGAGCAUAGCUUCUAGUUGAAACCUCAGGCCAAUCAUAUAUUUGAAAAUUAGAAAGAUUUAAGAGUGGCACCCGAAUAGCAACUACAGCCCCGGGCAUGAAUUUUGCAGAAUGAGGCCGUAAUCUAGCAACUGGAACAUUUGAUGAAAUUUUAACUGCGCGGUUGCUACUAAAUACUUGGUUAAUCACAGGAAGAUUAAUAGGUACUGUAUAUCCAACAGGGUUCUGCUGUCGCAACGUGUAAGAGAGUUGAAGCUCCAACCCAGUACGUGUCGGCAUCCAUAACGCACAUUCCUCUAGUCCAAGAGUUCUACCGAGUUCAACAAGUGUUGUUUUCAGUAUUGUAUGUCUAUCAAGAGUACUUCUGAUCUCAUGAGUCAACAUCCUAACAUGUCGACCGGUUUCUUCCUGCGUACGAAUCAUACCCAUUUCUCUAUCAAGAUCCGCCGCCUUUUUCUUCAAAAAUAACUCCCUAGUUUUAACGCUUAAUAGAUCAGGAAUAAUAUGUACAAGCAUAAGGGCAGUGGCGCAUGAUACCGCAGCAGUUAAAAUCUUAGCGGUGGCCAUUACAAUCGCUACGGUUCUUGUAUGAAUCGUAAAGGUCCAUAAAUUAAUUAGAUGUGUAGCUCCACAUAGAACUAUGAAGGCACCAAACUGAACAAGAACCCAUCUAUAUGGAAAUACCGCUGAUUUCUUAACGAAGUAGAUAAGCUCGAGCGGGAUUGAGAAAUAAGCAAGGGCAAUGAAGAAAUCAGAGAUAUAUUGGUACUUCAUUAAUAAAUCAUCCGCCGGCCAUUGCGGCUCCACACAAUUGCAGGAUUCCAUAGUGAUUGAAUUGAACAUUGAACCACCUCCGCCGAUUCACCCUUUAUCACAUAACUACAUUACAAAAAUAGGAAAAUCUAAGCAUCAUAUACAUGAAUUAAACAGAAAACACAACUAUAAACAAUGUUGUCAAUCAGGGAUCACCAAAAAUAGCAGUUCUCUAGUUAUCCGGUGUUAGACGGUAAGUAAAAUCUAGUCAAAGACGGUUCCAAUCUGAAUUCAAACUUCGGUACUCACGAUCAAUUCAACCUUCACUAAAACCCAUUAACCACUUGAAUCCAACCACUUGGUUAUAUCACUUAUAUCAAUAUAAACUCCCUCAGAAUCAACAUAAGUAGAGAGCUAAAAAACCAGCAAAGACACAUUCAUUCCAAAUGAACAUCAAUAACAAAGUCAAAAAUACAAACAACCUUCAAAAUAUGGUCUUUCUCUACACCCAAUUACCACAAAAGCUACCAUGAAUUAAAAACUAAACCUUUUUUUAUUAAUAACAACAAAAAAAUUAUCCUAAUCUCAAAACCCAGCAGCAUUAUCCCAGUGCUAACUAAACCCCCAAAAUCACCUUAACCUUAAUUUCAUAUAGCUAUCAAAAAACAAAAAUUGUGUACCCAGUGUUCAGAUUAAAAUUAAACACUAUCAUAAACCAAAUUAGUAUCUGAAAUUCAGCUCCUAACACUCUACCAUUUACAUACUUCACAAAAAAUUCAAGGUAAUUUAAAAAUAUAUAUAAUUUUGGGUAUACAUUAAUUAAACAAUAAUAAAAUUAACAAAUCGGAGUGAAUUUAAAUUUGAACAUAAAAAUAGAAAAGAAUAAGUGUGAUCUAUGAAACUUACAUGGAAAUGAAAUGAAUAUAGCUGCAAAGGAAGAAGAGAAGAGAACUGAACAAAGAGGAAAAGAAAAAGAAAAGAAAAGAAUAAUAAUUUUUGUAAUAUAAUAUUAAUAUAAUAGAAACAAGUUGUGUUUUUGAUAUUAGAAGAACAAGUUGUAUAAAAUAAUAUAAAGUUAUAAAUAAAAUUAGAAUAAAAUAUUAUUAUAUAAUAAAAAAGUAAUAUUUAUGAGGGUCAAGUUCAAUGAAUUUAGGUGUAUGGAAAAGUAACGUUACCGUAUAUGACAGAGACACAAAACUAAACAUAUUAUCUAUAAAAUGGAAUAAAGUUACAAAUAGUCAAAUUAGCUUAGAAUUGAUUCUAAUGUUCUUAGGUUUUCAAUGAAAUAUCUAAAUAAAACACUCAUAGAUUUUCUAGUUAAUUCAAGACAAGUAACAUUAAAAUAGUAUAAUGUAUUUAGAUAUUGUAUCGUAUAGUAUAAGACACGUAAUAAUAUUUUUCUCUUUUAAAUUUUAAGUUGUUCAGUAGAUAAUUUGUUUUAAAUUAUAAGUUAUUUAAAUAUACCAAUGAAUUAUUUUUCUUUCAGUCGUGCACAAGUAUUUUACAGAUUGAAUUUAAUUAAAAUAUAUUGAUAUUGUAAAAGGAUUUUACAAAAUCAGUAUGUUGACAGUGCAUAAUAAUUAAUCUCUUACGGAUUUAUCAUCAAAUUUAUGUUUGGAUUAAUUUUUUAAAGAGUUAAAAAUAAUUUUAGAGGUGUAAAAUUAUUUUUGAAAUAAUUUUAAGAUAUCUAACUCUUUUAAAAUAUAAUUGAUUUUGUAUCUAAAAUUGAUUUUACAGUUAUAAUUUGUAGUUUUUGAGUUUAAAUGUAAUUUUCAUAUUAAAGUUUAGUGUUCAACUCAAUGUUGCAUAAAUUUAUCCAAACAUGACAUUUUAUCUUCAACUCACUUUUAGUUAGAAUUGAUUUUACAUAAUCAAUUUUUUCAAACUCAAUUUUUUUCAUCUCAGGACCAAACACGCGCUACAAAUGAUAGAUAAAAUGUUAAGUUUGUUCCCUAUAAAAAGUGACAAAUGGUUUAAAUUCCAGUAAAAUGUUUAAUGAGGAUGAUUGAUCUCUCAUUUUUAAAUGUUGAGAAUGUGCCAACAAAUAUUUUUGACAAUCAAAUCAAUAGAGAUUGUGAGUGUGGAGUUUUAAGAUUUAAAUUAGUGUGCUUUCAAGUCUGGACGAUUAAAUACACAUAGCAAGGGUUUAGAGGCCAUAACACAUUUACAGGACAAUGGUCUCUACUGGUCUUCCCCAUCGCACACGACUUAACCUAAUAUGUGUUUAGACAUGUUCAACGCAUAGUACAACCAUAUAUACUCAAUUUUUUUGCUUAACGUAAUAUGUGCUUAGGCAUGUUCACCACAUAUUGGUCUUUUCAUAUAUAUGAUUUAUUACAUCAUAUUUUACCUGUUUGUUUAUAAAUUACCUAUAUUUAAAAGGUUAUACGUGAUGUUUAGGGUGUUGAUAAUGCUUAGAGUUAGCUCACACAGAGUGGUACAAAGUUAUAUUUAUGUGGUUUCUAGGUGAAUGAUGAUCCCCAUCCUCUCAACCUAAAGUUGGGGCAUUUAUAGAGACUUGUUAGGCUUGGAUCCUUGCAUCCAGGAGUGGUAUUCUCCAUCUUCCCUCGGGAGCAUGACAUACGUGAGAAAACAUUUUUCUCUUAUAAUCAUGGAAUACAUGGUUUUCCUCUUUGACUGUCUCAUUUAUCAUGUUGGCGCAUAAGUUCACGUCUUUACCCACGUUCAUUGGACAAGGUGAAAAUUACAAUGGAUAGCCCAAAUCCAAUAUGGGCGCCUUAUGAUAAGUCAUGGGAGAUCUAAGCGCCACACUAGCACUCUUUCGAGUAAGUUUUGUAUUACUUCUUCUAGGCCAUCUUCUUUUAGGCUUGACAAACUAAUCUGGUUCAUAUCCCCUCAAGCAUGAGGAUAUGUAAUGGGCGAAGUGAUUUAGUUUGAGUAUUUCACGCCUUUAGAAAUAUGUGACAAAGAUCGUCUUAAUUCGACCGCCCAAGAUAAUCCUUAGGGACCGAGACUUUAAGUUGAGUCCAUAAGGUGAGACUUUAAGUAGAGUCCCUCACGCGAGACUUUAAGUUGAGUUCCUCGGACGAGACUUUAAGUAGAGUCCCUCAUGCGAGACUUUAAAUUGAGUCCCUCGUGCGAGACUUUAAGUAGAGUUCCUCAUGAGAGACUUUAAGUUGAGUCCCCCAAGUGAGAAUUACAAUGUCUCGUUCAUUCCAUUUCCUAUUAAAUGGUCCAUGUCAUAAUGUACUUUAGGAUAUGGCCAGAGGCCCAACAUCGAGGAGUUUGUAAAAUCCUAAGAGUCUUUUAUACUGAUCUAGCAUCCAUAUUGCCCCUUAAGCGACAAGGAUUCUUCAGAGAAGAUCCAACAAUCAUGUUGCCUUUUGAGCGACAAGGAUUAUGUAAAAAGAUCCAACAUUCAUGUUGCCUCUUAGGCAGUAAGGAUUCUUCAGAGAAGAUCCAACAUUCAUAUUGCCUCUUGGGCGACAAAAAAUUCUUCAUAGAAGAUUCAACAUUCAUAUUUCCUCUUGGGCAUCAAGGAAUCUUCAAAGAAGAUCUAACGUUCAUAUUGCCACCUAGGCUACAAGGAUUCUUCAGAGAAGAUCCAACAUCCAUAUAUUACCUCUUGGGCGACAAGGAUUCUUCAAAGAAGAUCCACCAUUUAUAUUGUUAGUCAGUUAUAACGAUGACCCUCCUUUUGAAAGUUUUCCAAUUUAUAAGAUGGUGCUAACAAAAAAAAUUAAGAAAUUUCAUACAUUGGUACACUAAAUGUCUCUCUCCUUAUUGAAUAGAAAACAUUAAUUGGAUAAAUGUAAUAGUAUCUCAAGUUAGAUAAGUUCCACGUUCUAGGGAUGAUUCUUCCAUCUAGCUCCUUAAGUUUGUAAGCUCCAUGAGGUAACUUUUGACAUACGUGGUAUGGACCUUCCUAGUUGGGCUAUAGUUUUUGCCACAGUGCGAGAAAUACCCUAGGGUGCUUGCACGCUCGAGGUGAUAAAAGAGUCUUCACUGAACAUUAUUUAUUCCAGAAGGAAAGGAUAAAUAUUGAUAAAACCCUUAAAAGAAAAAGAAAAUGGUCUUCGUAACCAAAUUCGGGUUCAGUAGUCGAUUAUGCAACGGGAAGAUAUUAACACCCCUCACAUCCAUUGUACUCAACGGGAACCAUUUAGUUAGAUUUAUAAAUAAAAUGUUAGUUUAUGUUAUUUGCUUUCUUCGAGUUAUUAAAAUGUUUGAAAAGAGAAAGAAAAGGAUCCCAAAAAGGUUUUUAUUAGGGUGCUUGACAAGAUUGCGAGUCUUUCUCCUACGUAUCCUCAGGUGCGAUAAAGCGAUGUAGUCCUCGGCAAAACAAAAGGUAUUUUGGGGUUUUUUGUUAUAGUGCUUGACGAUAUGGGGAACUACAUACCUUUGAGUUCCCCGUUCUGGGCAAGACAAAAGUAUUUUUGGAAUAAAUGUUUUUGUUUUGAUAUUGAAAACGGUUUGAUCGAUGGUAAAAGGGUCGAAAAGAGAUAAGAGACGCGAAUUACAACGUGGGGUUGUGAGUUCAAAUAUGAGGGUGCAAACUCUAACACGGGGCGUAACUUAAUGUAAUAAAUCGCACGAAACGCAAUGUCACACACCAACACGAAAUAACAUAACAAAAGGAUUGAAGCACAUAUAAUAUAUUCAGAGCAAGCACACAUUCAUCCCAAAUGAAUUGAAAAUUAAACGUGACAAAGUAUAUCCAUACCCCAUUAAUAAAAGCGCCAUGGAAACAUGACAAAGUGGAGGAUCUCGAGUGACACAUGAUAUAAGUUAGCAUGCUUCUGACAUCUGUCACAUCUUUUGAUGAAUUAUGCAUUGUCCUUCGUCAGAGUGGACCAAUAAUAACCCAUCUUGAGCAAAUUAUGAGCAAGAGCUUAACUGCCAAUUGACUACCGUACGUUUCAUAUAUGUUAUCUAAAAGUCUAUGAAACGUUCAGAUAGUUCACAAACCUUUUUCAUAAAUUUGAUCAGCUUUGGUUCCUUUGUUUGGUAUCCUGAAGACCUGAUUUACCAUCAACUGUGAAUCACUCAUAGCCUUGAGGCUUGAAUUUUCCAUAUCUAGGCAGAAAACUAUGUCAAAAAUGAGGGCUUCAUACUCGCCGUAGUUGUUGUUGACUUUAAACUCAAACUUUAAAGAUUGUUAUAUCAGGAGGUAGUAUGGCCCCUCUAGUACUAUUUCAACGCCAUUUCCCUUCAGGUUCGAGGCACUGUCUACGAAUAGUAUUCAUAUGCAGAGAGUCUCCUCGCCUUUCGACAAGCUUAACUCUAUUAGGAAAUUAACUAGCACUUGCAACUUGGUGCUCCCUUGGGGUAUAUACUAGAUAUCAUACUCAAAUAACUCCAAAUCACAAGAUACCAUUCCACCUGGUAGAUUCAACUUUAUCAAAUCUUGGUGAAUGAGGUAAUUGAUUUUUUACCAUAAUAUGGUGCUCUUAAAAGUAAGGUAUGAGCUUCCUCGUCGUAAUCACAACCGCCCAGGCGAGUCUCUCGGUCUUCUGGUACUUGUCUCGAUAACUUUAAACACCUUGCUUACGAAGUAAACAUGUCACUCAUUUUUGUUUUUCUCUUGGACGAGCAUAAAUCUCAUUGUAUGUUCAUUAACAAACAAAUACAGAUAGAGGGGUACACCCACCUCUAGGCGUGUCAACAUGGGAGGUGUCGCUUGUCCAUGCAAAUUUCUCAUUCUUCUUCAAAGUGGGAGAGAAAUGAAAGAUCUUGUCACCUCCACAAGAAAUAAAAUGGGUUAGCGUGGCUAACUCUCAUAUAUAAAAGACCUCACAUGAAAGGAAAUGUAUGAUUCAAAUACAUUCUCACUCUUACAUCAUUUUUCAUUCUCUCACAGGCUUGAGUGUUGAAGUGUUAACCUUACAGGUCACCCCUUCUUCGUUAUAUUAGAUGAUUACUCCAUCGUGGUAAGGUUCUAUUCAACGUUCACCAAACAAUUAUGGUUCCUUUACGGAAUAAUUGUGUUGUAUAUGGUCAGUGAUUCAAAGCUAUUUGAAGUUAUCCAGAGAAGCUUCAACACCUGCUCCUCAAAGUCACAAAAAGGUAGUUUUCCCUUCAAUCUUGAAAAUAUGCACUCAUAGAACAGAAUCGAGAAACCGUCAUAGGAGUUACAAAUUCUCUUUGAACCCUUGACAUGGGAGAAUGACCAGUCAUAGGACGACCCCCACCUCAGUAUGGGUGCUCUCCAGACGGACGAUACUGUUAAAGUAAGAAACCGGUCCCAAGGAUUCCUCAUCCACCUGGAGGUAUUGAAUGACGUCUUCAGGUAGCGCCAAACCUUGAUGUUCCUUCUUGACCAUAUCUUCCCAGCUUUCAUGAAAAAGAUAAUGUCAGUCAUGAAUCUUGGAAUGGAUUUUAAAGAUGAUAUGGUCUCUAAUUAACCUGACAUUGGGAUCCCAACCACACUCUGCCCUAAAAGAUUUAAUGAAAUAAUGAGCCACUCGUUCGUUUCGGGAAACCGUAGCAAGUUUCAUAUCUAUAGAAAGCAGAAGAGGAAGGAAGGGAUCAGGAUCCAUGACAUCUCCAACAUCAUGAAAACUAUAGGGCUCGUAACCAUCUUCAACAAAACCCCCUCAAAUCCAUAGAGGUAUCGCUAAGUACGACAAGGUUGCCAACAUGUUGGUUAACUUCUAAAGGGUCAUUCGCCAUUCAUGGGUUACAAUCCUAGUAACGAAAGAAGAAUUAUCACUAUUGGAUAUAUUAUCACAUUUGUGGGUACAUUUCCUAUGUGAGUCAUAUCUAGAGCAACAAGGGAGAGCAAUGAAUUUUAUACAGAAAAGAGAAAGAUGGUACAUGAGGAAAUAGAAAACAAAGAUAAUUGUUAUAGGAGAUAGCUUAGAAGGUGCGCUGAACCAGGGAAUGUCUAACCUAGAGAAGGGAAAAAGAUUGAAGAAAUGAGUGUUGAUAAAGUUCGGAGAAGAAAAUCAAUGUGUGGAGAAGAAAAAGGGGUUUAUAGUUCGUGUAAAGAGCGAAAAGAGUUUUUAAAUCCCAAGUUACCAUUAUAUAGAAAAGCGAGACAAAUCAAUCAAUGGUUUAGAAAGAAAAGAAAAUGGAAAGGUAAAAAAAAAUAGAUCUUGCCUGGAGAAUACAACGACACUUGAGUGCACUUGAGUAUCCUAGGAAGAAACGCCAUUCUCCCUGGUCUAGAAACCUAGGGUCACGUGUCAAACAAAUUUUGUGAAACGUCUUCAUGAUGAGACUCACAUUUAAUGCACUUAUUCUCUAGAUUGUUCUCGUCGAAUGCUAAACUUCUUUCACUUCUCAAAGCAACGAUCUUGGUGUAGGGAACUCGACCCCUAUAAAAUCGGUGCCAUGCCACGAGAAAUCUUAGGGACAAUUAUUUUGCAAAGGAGGAAGCAUACCUUCGAUCUAGAUCUGGACCGCUUCUAUUAACUCUCAUAUAUUAACGGACUCCACGUGAAUGAAAAAAUAUGAUUUAAAUUCAUUUUCACUCUCACAUCAAUUUUUAUUCUCUUAUUGAUUUGACGUUCAAAUGAUACCCUUACAUGUCAAUUCCCUCUCCGUCAUAAAUGAAGUGUUAAAUUAUUUAUUUCUAUAAAAUUUAUAAAUUAAAUUAAUUGAUUUCAAUUCUGAACCCAUCUAAAAAGUGUUAAAUUGUUUAUUUCUAAAAAGUUUAUAAAUUAAAUUAAUUAAUUUCAAUUAACAUAAGUUAACCAUGAAAUAGAACUGGUGGAGUUGUGAUGGGUGAAAGAAUACACUUGUCGGAUGCUAAAUGACAGAAAAUUGAUUUAGGCAGACACAUCAUUCAUGCUUUCACUUUUUCACUUAUGUGUGUGCACAAAGCCUUUUCAUGUGAAGUUGUUGCUCGUGGAUACCAUUAUUAUAUAUAGAAUAAUAAUGUAUUAGUAUUAUAAACCACAUACCUAAAAGAAACAUAACACAUACUUUACUUGAGAAAUAAAAUUACUAUAUAUAAUCUAUAUCAGAAAAUUGCUCAUUCGGCUCAGUUUGUAACUAAUCAACAUUAAAUAAUCAUAAACCAUAUGCAGACAGAAAAUAUUGUACCAUCUCCAAGUUCUCUCAUACUUUUAAAACAAGUCACUGUCUAUGGCUUUCUUGAAUAACAAGGCAUUUGUUCAACUCAUGCAAGUUUUAAGUGGUAACUAGUAGAGUUGAACUUAUAUGAUUCUGUUUUGAAAUUAUUGGAACAAGAUAUGUUAGAUUAGCUUCACAAGGUUCAAAACAUGAGUAGCAUAGAACCAUAUCUAUGUCUGUUGUUACUAUGUUAAAAUUAUUAUGAAACUGCAUAAUCAAACAUUGAUAAACAAGAGUUGUAAGUACUAAAACAAGAAACAAAGUUUGCAAUAAGCUCUAAAUACUUGUCAACUCAAAAGUGGUUGCAGUAUAAGUUGUUACAGUGUCUUUUAAACUAAAAUAAUUGUUAAUUGAUUAAGAAGCAUCAACAUAUAGUGAUGCCUGCAAGCUUUAAUAUUAAUAAGUUUGUUGAGGAGCUUCAUAACAUAAAGGCUGGAUAGCAUUUGUGACAUCCUCUUCCUCUUCUAAGCACUUCCAAACAUUCAUGAAAUCCUCUUGUUCUAAGCUUCCCCACAUAUUUGUGAGAUCCUCUUGUUCUAGGCAUCCCCAGUCUGAAGUUUUAGAAUUUGUUUCUUCAACCGAAAAGGCAACUGGACUAUUAUCAUAACAGAAAUUAUAAUCCUGGAUGUUUGUGUCUUCCAAAGAAGCAGCAGAUCCAACAAUAAACGGCUCUACAUUGUGUGUCUGCAUUUCACUUGUUUUGUCAGACUCCAAUACGGCAAAUAAGAAAUUGAAGCAACUGAGGUUCACUUUUCAUGUAAUUUGUAUGCCAAUCAUAAUCCCAAAUGCUUGUGCUUUUUGAAGAAGAAUCAGAUCCAACAAGAUCAUGUGAAUUCAUUUGGAGCAAUGAAGGGCAGUUAGCAGCCAUACUAUCAUGGAAGUCGAACGGUGUCGCAGAUUGGUUAAGAACAGUUGGAAAUAAACUUGAGCUUUGAUAUUGAAUAGGCCGAAUUAGUGUUGAAGGGCCGACUCCACUCAUGUUAGGGAGAAGUAAAGUUGAGGUUUGGUUUACAGGAAAGUUGUAGGAUUGUGGAUGAAUGGUAAAGGAGGUUUGAGAUUGAGAUUGUGGAUGAAUGGUAAACGAGGUUUGAGAUUUGUAGGAUUGUGGAUGAAUGGUAAAGGAGAUUUGUUGAGAUUGAGUAGGGUUCAGAAUCAUGGUUGAAGGAAGUGUGUCAUCUUGUUGAUGGAUAUGGAUAGCCUUUUUCUUACUGAGUCUAUAUUUCUGCAUCACAAUCAAUAUAGUUAGUGCCUUUGGUCAACCAUAACCACAAUAUUCAUCAUCAAUAUAUAUAUCUAUAUGUAUGCAGAUCGGACAUUAUUCAUCAACAUUUAUCAACAAGAAUCAUCAACGUUUAUCAAGAAUCAUCAAGAACAUUCAUCAAGAACAUCUAUCAAGAAUCAUCAAGGUUUUUGAACAAGAAUCAUCAAGAUUUAUCAAGAAAACUAUGAUCAAGAAUAUACAUGCAUGCUGCGGAUGGGAAAAUAUUGAUCAAGAAGGAUAAAGAUUUAUCAAGAUUUGGGAAGAAGUAUACCUGGAGAUGGCUUGCAACAUGUUCCCUGGUAAUUCCAUCAACAUUCAUCAAAGCAACAAUUUUUCUAGGAACAGCCUCUGCAAACAAGAAAGAAUGUCGUAUAUAUUAGGAAUGAAAGAAUUGACGGAGUGAAACAACAAGUUUGUAGUAGUAAACAACAUACAUACCGUGUAAGCCAAGUAAAUGAACAGCAUGGAGAAACUUUGCAUGAAGGUGAGGAGACCAGACACAACGAGGUUUCUUAUUAUGUGACAGAGAGACAUUGUCAUCAUCAUCAUCUUGCUCUUUCUUCCUUUUAGCCAUCUUAGUAACAAUUGAAGUGAAAGUAUACUAUUAUAUAGACAGCUUUGGGUGAAAGUGAUGUAAUAAUAGGUAGAGAGCGAUUGUGUUAUUAAAUAAGGAAUAUAUAGACAGCUUGUGUUAUAUACACACAAAUUUUACUUGUCAAUCCAACUAUUUAACUUAUUUUUUUGGAAAACUCCGAUAUUUUUUAAUUUUUUUCUAAAAAUAAUUAAUUUUUUAUCAAAAGUUUUAGAAAAUUCCGAUAUUCUUUUAAAAAUUUCCAAAAAUAAAAUUGUUAAGAGUAUAAAUAUAAUGGCAGCAACUAAGUGGGAUAGUGGGAUGUUAAGUUUAAUUGAAUGGGUGAUAGGUUAAAUAUCCACCGAAGUUUAGAUAUUGAAGAAAUUUAAUUAUAUAAUUUUAAUGAGCCAUUGAAAAAGUUAAAUUAAACAUUUGAAAUUUAGUACUACUGAUCUUAAUGUCGAGUAAUCUUAAGAACAUGUUGCGAUUAAAAAUUUAUUCUAUCUUCAAAUCUCAAAUAAAUGAUAUUCAUCUUCAUCACUAUCAACAAGAGUGAUCUCAAUAACAGAAAAUACAAACAGAAUGUAUUUUCACCCUUGACAAAAACUUGGAAACUUUACUUGCAUCAUUUUUUUUCAAUACAAAUUAAAUAAGAAAAAUAAAGUGGAUUGUUAGGUCACAAGAGGCAUUUUUAUAUUGAGGUCUUCUUGUAUGUAUGAGUAAUAGAAAUUGUAAGAAACAUUUUGCAUAUUCGUCUAAAAUCUUAAAAUGAUAGAUGUAUGUAUUAUUUGACUUAUAAAAUGUUCAAUCUCUAUUUUUUCAAUCAAUGUGAAGUAUCUUUACAUUUUAUUUUUCAAAUUUUUUAACUCAAACUUGUUUUUUAUCGACAUGGCAUUAAUAGGUGCUAGAUGCUUAAUUCUAACAUUUCCCAAUCUUUUAAUAUUUUAUUUAUUAAUUACUUUUCAUAUUUUUUUAACGGUUAGAUUAAUCCAACAAUUAAAAACAUGAUAUGUCAUGAGAGAGAACCUGACACAUUCCGCAAGAGACGGUCCUAAUCCAACUCAUUUAGUAGAGUGACUCUUGCGGUAUACAAAUUCUCCUUGAUAUAGAUUCAGAUUCACUGCAGUCAGUGAAUGACACAUUCACACAAUCACAUUAUCAUGUUCAUUCGAUCAAGAUCAAACGAUCCAUAUUUUAAAGUCUAUAUUUUUAUUAUUUUAAAAACCCAAAUCUAUAUUAAAUAUGAAUUUUCUAAUAUCAAUCCAAUGAUUAUAAAUCAUUUGACUGCGUGAAUGCGGUAAAAGAUUGACAACAUGAAAUUCAAUUUUCCUUGAUACACCAUUUUGGAUUAUGUUCAUUAUAAUUUAAUUUUUCUAAAAUUUCUAUAAGUAAGAAAAAUAAUACCUUAUAAAAUAUAUUUAUAUUACAUAAUAUAAAAUAUAUUUUAGAAAUUAUUUAUUUUAAUUCUGUAACAAAAUAUUGUGACGUGAUGCCAGUAUAGGUAUCAAAAAAGUCAUAUAUGACAAAGCAUCAUUAAUGAGGUCUUGACCUCUUAUUUUCAUGCCCUUUAUUAAAUGAACAUUUUUUUACCCUUUAUUUUUAAGUCUUCUAAUAUUAUCCUUUCUUGGGGUUCUAAAUAGGAGGUUUAAAGCUUUUUUUUAAAGUUUCUAAUACAUUGUUUUUGUCGUGUUUUAAUAGGAUGCAUCUCUGGAUUUGGUCUGCAUUAGGGAGACACAUUUUCGGAUUGGACUUGGGCAAAAAUUUGGUUGAUUUUGCGGAAUUUGUGAAUUUGUCUUGACAUGUUGUUUAUAUAUGUCUCUAUUUCUAACGCAUAUGCAAUGGCUGAAAAUAUCACUGACUGAAUUAGGCUCAUGUGUGUGUCCCAAACCACAUUGGUACGACGUGAGAGGACCGCAGCGAGGACCACUGGGCCAUGAGUUGUUGAUAACUCAUUUGAAAUUGCAUCUACUUUACAGCCCCGUGGUUCCUAUUCGUCUGGUUCUCGUAGCCGACUCUCUCUAGCAUAUGAUGCAGUGGAUCCUGAAGUUCCUGAAGCCCUUGAAGCACAGGAGAAAACCAAUGUAUAUGUUCAUUUAUAGAGUUAUCCAGGAGGCCCAUUUGACACCUCCCUACUUCAUUUAUUUGAUGACCAUGUUGCAAAGCAUGUAUGGGAAGUGAAUGUAUAUUUAAUUUCUUUUGAAAUUCAUAUGUUUUCACCGACCUGAUUUCGAAUCACGGGUACAUAUGUGUGUGUGUGUAUGUGCUUGUGCGCGCGUGUGUGUGGAUGUGUGUGCGUGUAUGAGUGUGUGUGUGUGUGCGUGUGCGCGUGCGUGUGUGUGUGUGCGCGUGUCUGUGUAAAUCGUUUCACCAUGACUUUUAACAAAACUUGUAAUAACAUAUAAGUACUAUUCACAACGGUUUCUUGUAAUAACCGUGGCAAUAUGUAUUUUAAUAUUAAUAUAUUUUAAUAAAAUAUAAAACAAAUGUCUUUCACAACUGUUGUUAUAAAAACUUGAAAUGAAAUGUAUUUCAAUUAAAAAAGUUCAGACUGUUGUUAUUAAGCCCUUAGUAUCUUAACACAUACACAACCAAAACAUGAGAAGAACAACUGACAAUAGAUCUAUUAUUGUGCAUAAGUUCAAUGAGGCUGUAGAACAUUUAUAAACAGAAAUAAAAUAUGCCCAGAUACAAGGGUCAUCAAACUGAAAGAAAAACUUAAAUCUUCAAGAUCGAAAGUCCCAUUUAUCAUUGAAGCCUUCAGACUUCAUGCCCAAUUAGAUCUAAGAAGUUAUCCCGAUCUUCAUCUGACUCUGAGUCACUUGAUUCCGUUAUCUCUUCAACAACAACUUUUAUCUUGCUUAUCUUCUCAAGAUUCAGAUUGGUAAUCAUUAUCUUCUUAGUGCCAAGUGUCCCACUAGAAGGUUCAACAAUGGUGAUGUUAUUCCUAACAUCUCCUGCUUCCUUGACCUUAUAUAUGUAAAACUUAUCACUGCGGCUGUUAGCAAAAUUCGUAAUAAAAUGUAAAUACUAUUUUAAUAUAUUUAUUAGACUAUAAGGAUAAGUCAUUUUUGUAACGAAAAAAAAAUAUUGGUGUUGGGAAUCGAACCAAGUAACCUUUCAUAUAUCACAACAGUUGUUAUUAUGGAUCAUGAUGAAAUGUCUUUCAAUAAAAUAAUAAAAAAUUCAGGCAAGCGAAAAUGAGAUAUUAUUACCAUUUUUUAAACGGCCGAUGUAAGAUGGUGUUAUCAAAAGUAUAUUUUGUAGUAGUGUUUGAAGUUCGCAUCGUUUGAAAAAUUACUAUGAUUGGUCUUUAUAUUAGAUAUUAUGAGUGAUAUUUAUAUCAUAUUCGAUUAAUCAUUCUACCAUUAAAGAGUGUAUUUCUAGAUCGUGCAAAUAAGAAUCGUACAUUAUAGAAUUUGAUUGUUUUAUCCUAGAUGUGUCAUUGUUGAUUGACUAUUUUGCACAAUACUAAACAAUGUCGUAAAAUAUUUUAAAGAGAACAGUUUAAUUCGCGAUUCGAACCAACCGUUUUUUCAAUGACAAUUUUCAAAAAUCAUGAAACAACAAUUAGUAUAUUAAGCAUUGAUUAAAUCCAAUAAAAAUAGUUCUAAUUUUAAGUGAUUUUUAUCAUUGGAACUCACAACCCUUAAUUUAUUUGGAUUAUAGUAAUAUUUAUAAAUUGAUGUGUUUUAAUUUUAUUUUGUGAAGACGGAAUACUUCACCAUGGUUUGUACUAUCUCUCGUAAUCUUUUUUCAUGACAAGUCUUAUACUUUCAGUAUAUACAUUUUUAUUUAGUUUUUCAUAAUAUAAUAUUUUGUUAUAUGUCACAUAUUCAAAUAUUUGUUGAAAAAAAAUGGUGAUUUGUCAUGUGCAUGUUUUUCUGAAACUUUUACUUAAGAAAUCCAGUUUUUGAAAAAAAAUCUUAAAAUAAUUUAUUUUUCAGAUUAAUUCUUAAACUAUCCAAUUUUUAAAAGGUGACGUCUGAUGAGAUGGCGUAUACUCUCUAAAUUAAAGAGGUGAUGUCAAUUGAAUUGGCUUGUGGGCAUGAUGUUGUCAAUUCAAUUGGCGUCUCUGUAUUAGGUUUUAAAGGAGUUGUCAAUUGGUCUGACACCUAUGUGUGUUGGUCCAUGAAUCUUUGAUUAUGACCUAGUUCAUUGUAUAUCUUGUGCCUUGCUAGAGUUUUUGUUUCAUGUUUGGCAUUGUUCAUCCAAGUUAUGGUCAUGUCCAUUGAUCCAUGAUUAGAAAUUCAUCAAGUUCAUCCCUUAGUCUAUUCCAUGUCAUUUUCAUUGGUGUUUGGUCCAUGAAUCGUUGCAUAGGUCCUAAUCAUUGUCCAUUUUGGUCCUUAGGUCUUGAUUCAUUCAAAAUUUGUGUCCAUUGAUUCAUGUUAUCAUGUUCAUUCAUUUCAAUAUCUUUCAUAUCCAUACAAUUAAUUUCAAACCGUCAAUGCAUUCAAAUAUCAAAUAUCAUUUCAUACAAUCACAUCCAAAGUUCAUACAUGUACAAAGGCUACAAAAUUGACCAUUUAUACAACAGUUGACUUUUGGUCAACAUUUGACUUUUUGCGCGACAACCACAAUAUUUAAAAACAACAUUUCUAACGGAUUACAACAAUCAAACUGAUAUCAUUUGGUCCAAACAUCACUUCCCUAACAUCCUUAUCAUUUUUUACUCUCACCCAUCCACGUAAGACGCCGAGUCUCUCAAUACUUAUAAUUUUUCCCUUUCAUGUAUGUUUCCGUCUAACCAACGAACCAACUCGCUUUGUAGUUGCUCGAAACCACAGAUGUUCUAGAAGAGCAUCUCUAUCAGAGACUUGUUUCUCGAAUAAAUCACGUUUCCAUAGCGGCGACGAAGACGAACCAUGUUUGCAAUAUAAUGAAAAGAGAUGUGGAAAAAUUAAUCACAUAACAUCUCUAUUUAUACAAAAAAAAAUUACGCAUUACACAGAGGCGCCAGACCAAUUGACGCCUCCUCUCCUUUUUUACGCAUGGACGCCAAUUGGAUUGACAACAUCAUGUGCAUAAGUCAAUCCAAUUAGCGCCACCUCUUUAAUUUAGAAAGCAAACACCAAUUUUUCUUACGUCACCUCUUAAAAGGGAGGUAGUUUGAGAAUUAAUAUGAAAAGUGAGUUAUUUUGGAGGAAAAAAAAUUGAAAAAAUGGGUUAAUUAAGUAAAAAAAAUUGUUUUUCUCUUAACAUUCUAUUUUUUUUUAUGAUUGUGCUUUUAUAAAUUUCUUAGAAAUUUUAUAUACUUAUUCUUAAUUCAGUUCUCAAUUAUAUUAGAAGAUUUUCCAAUUUUUCACAUAGUUUUUUUAUAUUAAAUUUGAUAUUUUACAACAAUAAUAUUUUUUAAAUCAAUAAGUACAUAUAUUUAUUUACCUAAUGUUUCUUCCUUCUUCUUUUUAAAAAAAAAAACUUAUUCAAGUAAAAAAAUUAAUUCGUAAACAGUUUUUUGAAAAAAAAAAUAUUGAUUAAAAUAUUUAAUUACAACAUAAUAUGAUGUUGGUGAUUUUAGUAUCACCCAUGAUUUUAGUAGUAAUGAGAUUUACUCUAGGCCGAUGCAAUUAUGCGUUAAAGCUUGGAAACGAGUUAGGAGUAGUGCGGAGUGCACGCUCGUAGAGCCAACGUGUAAUUGACUGCAAGUAAUUGAAAACUGGGUUCCAAGGGGCGAAGCCGUUAUUACCGUUUUUGUUGAAAAGGUAUGACUUUUGAACGUUUGAACCUUCCCAACCGUUAUUACCGUUUUNNNNNNNNNNNNNNNNNNNNNNNNNNNNNNNNNNNNNNNNNNNNNNNNNNNNNNNNNNNNNNNNNNNNNNNNNNNNNNNNNNNNNNNNNNNNNNNNNNNNNNNNNNNNNNNNNNNNNNNNNNNNNNNNNNNNNNNNNNNNNNNNNNNNNNNNNNNNNNNNNNNNNNNNNNNNNNNNNNNNNNNNNNNNNNNNNNNNNNNNNNNNNNNNNNNNNNNNNNNNNNNNNNNNNNNNNNNNNNNNNNNNNNNNNNNNNNNNNNNNNNNNNNNNNNNNNNNNNNNNNNNNNNNNNNNNNNNNNNNNNNNNNNNNNNNNNNNNNNNNNNNNNNNNNNNNNNNNNNNNNNNNNNNNNNNNNNNNNNNNNNNNNNNNNNNNNNNNNNNNNNNNNNNNNNNNNNNNNNNNNNNNNNNNNNNNNNNNNNNNNNNNNNNNNNNNNNNNNNNNNNNNNNNNNNNNNNNNNNNNNNNNNNNNNNNNNNNNNNNNNNNNNNNNNNNNNNNNNNNNNNNNNNNNNNNNNNNNNNNNNNNNNNNNNNNNNNNNNNNNNNNNNNNNNNNNNNNNNNNNNNNNNNNNNNNNNNNNNNNNNNNNNNNNNNNNNNNNNNNNNNNNNNNNNNNNNNNNNNNNNNNNNNNNNNNNNNNNNNNNNNNNNNNNNNNNNNNNNNNNNNNNNNNNNNNNNNNNNNNNNNNNNNNNNNNNNNNNNNNNNNNNNNNNNNNNNNNNNNNNNNNNNNNNNNNNNNNNNNNNNNNNNNNNNNNNNNNNNNNNNNNNNNNNNNNNNNNNNNNNNNNNNNNNNNNNNNNNNNNNNNNNNNNNNNNNNNNNNNNNNNNNNNNNNNNNNNNNNNNNNNNNNNNNNNNNNNNNNNNNNNNNNNNNNNNNNNNNNNNNNNNNNNNNNNNNNNNNNNNNNNNNNNNNNNNNNNNNNNNNNNNNNNNNNNNNNNNNNNNNNNNNNNNNNNNNNNNNNNNNNNNNNNNNNNNNNNNNNNNNNNNNNNNNNNNNNNNNNNNNNNNNNNNNNNNNNNNNNNNNNNNNNNNNNNNNNNNNNNNNNNNNNNNNNNNNNNNNNNNNNNNNNNNNNNNNNNNNNNNNNNNNNNNNNNNNNNNNNNNNNNNNNNNNNNNNNNNNNNNNNNNNNNNNNNNNNNNNNNNNNNNNNNNNNNNNNNNNNNNNNNNNNNNNNNNNNNNNNNNNNNNNNNNNNNNNNNNNNNNNNNNNNNNNNNNNNNNNNNNNNNNNNNNNNNNNNNNNNNNNNNNNNNNNNNNNNNNNNNNNNNNNNNNNNNNNNNNNNNNNNNNNNNNNNNNNNNNNNNNNNNNNNNNNNNNNNNNNNNNNNNNNNNNNNNNNNNNNNNNNNNNNNNNNNNNNNNNNNNNNNNNNNNNNNNNNNNNNNNNNNNNNNNNNNNNNNNNNNNNNNNNNNNNNNNNNNNNNNNNNNNNNNNNNNNNNNNNNNNNNNNNNNNNNNNNNNNNNNNNNNNNNNNNNNNNNNNNNNNNNNNNNNNNNNNNNNNNNNNNNNNNNNNNNNNNNNNNNNNNNNNNNNNNNNNNNNNNNNNNNNNNNNNNNNNNNNNNNNNNNNNNNNNNNNNNNNNNNNNNNNNNNNNNNNNNNNNNNNNNNNNNNNNNNNNNNNNNNNNNNNNNNNNNNNNNNNNNNNNNNNNNNNNNNNNNNNNNNNNNNNNNNNNNNNNNNNNNNNNNNNNNNNNNNNNNNNNNNNNNNNNNNNNNNNNNNNNNNNNNNNNNNNNNNNNNNNNNNNNNNNNNNNNNNNNNNNNNNNNNNNNNNNNNNNNNNNNNNNNNNNNNNNNNNNNNNNNNNNNNNNNNNNNNNNNNNNNNNNNNNNNNNNNNNNNNNNNNNNNNNNNNNNNNNNNNNNNNNNNNNNNNNNNNNNNNNNNNNNNNNNNNNNNNNNNNNNNNNNNNNNNNNNNNNNNNNNNNNNNNNNNNNNNNNNNNNNNNNNNNNNNNNNNNNNNNNNNNNNNNNNNNNNNNNNNNNNNNNNNNNNNNNNNNNNNNNNNNNNNNNNNNNNNNNNNNNNNNNNNNNNNNNNNNNNNNNNNNNNNNNNNNNNNNNNNNNNNNNNNNNNNNNNNNNNNNNNNNNNNNNNNNNNNNNNNNNNNNNNNNNNNNNNNNNNNNNNNNNNNNNNNNNNNUAGAUCCAACGUGUAAUUGACUGCAAUAAUUGAAAACUGGUUCCAAGGGGAAGCCGUUAUUACCGUUUUGUUGAAAAGGUAUACUUUUGAACGUUUGAACCUUCCCAACCGUUAUUACCGUUUUCUUGAAAAGGUUAACUUUUGAACGUUUGAACCUUCCCAACCUUAUUCUACGUUUUCUGAAAAGUAUGACUUUUCGUUUUCAGUUUUCGUUCUCCUAUAAAAGGGGGAAAUCUGGCCUCGGUUUAGGGUUACACACAAAAACCAUUCUACGUUCCAGAAUCUUUCUUUUGCCAGAAACAUUCUUUCUCAAGAUAUAUCCCCACAAAGAUUUCGUGAACCCAGGCAUAAAUAGGGUCGAAAUACUUUGUUCGGAAAGUGAACGAACACAUUCUUCGAAUUUCCAGGAUUAUCACUUAAUAUCAACAAACGAACAAAGUAUUCAUCUGAUAAUCAUGGCUGGAGGAAACACCGUCAAGGAAUGACCAGAAAUUCUUAAAAUUGGACAAGUUUCAAGAGACAAGAUUUCAGGCGUUGGCAGAAGAAGAUGCAUUUCAUGUUGACACGUUGAAGGUGGCAUGUCCUAUCUACACCGAUUCCAGAAAUUCGAAGAUGACACAGUUGAAAAUCUGAGACGCAGUAUCAAUGUGGAGAACACGACUACAUAUGCAGAGGGCACAUUCUUAACGUUAUUUGAUCCCUUAUUUGAUAUUUACCAAAACAUAGAAUCUGCAAAGGAAUAUAUGAUUGUCUCGAAUCCAAAUACACUGGCAGAGACUCAUCCAGUAAAAAGUUUCUGUGACUUAUUGCAAACAAAUAUCUAGCAGAUAAUGGCUUGAUAUUCUAAGUUCUGUCUUUGGUGUUAUAAUAUCAAAUAAAAAUCCAAAAAAAAGUUUUUUUUUUCCCCUCACAAAUUUUUGAAUAUAAUAAGAGAACCGCUUGGCCUUUCCGCAUAUCGUUGGACAAAGUUCACACUACUGACGGAUUAAAUAUGUGAGAAACAUAUAUGUCUCUCAAGCAUCAUAGUACAAGUUAGCCUCCUUCGCUGGAAAUGAUUUUCAAACACGAUCUGAAUAUUACUAUGCAGAAAAAUUACGAUUACUUCUUAUGAUCCAACUUUGUGAAGUCACUUCUGGCAUAUGUAAUAAUACUUCUAGAGGCGCAGUUGGAGUUGGAUAACAAAGGAAAACGCAAUAGAAAUUUAGUUGACCCGGUGCAGUAUGAGAGUUUAAUUAUGUUGAUUCGUAAAGUUAUUGGUGUAUGGGUGGUUAUGUGAGGGGAUUGAUGUUAAACCGUAUGUUAUUGUUAUCGCGCUGUCUCAUUGUUAUGCGGAUGGGAUGUAACAGAGCUAAAAACAUAAGGAAAGGAUAUGUGGUGCUUUCAAAUUUAUCAGUAUCAAGUGGCUAUUUAAGUUUCGUGGUAACAAGAAACCGAAUAAUGCAAUGCUGGAAGCUGUGGUAAACAGGCCACUUCAGAGUUGUUAUGUCGCUUCGUUAAAUAAGCACAUAACGCGAAUGCAAGUGGUCAGUAAAGGGUCUAUGGAGUACCAAUAAAUCACAGGUCAGCAAAUCAAUUCGCUUGAGUUUUUAUAUAGUUUAAUUAUACAUUUCUUAGUUGUCGUUUUCUACUACACAGUCUAAAGCAGUCUAUGUGCAGGAUGGUUUCUACCUCUGAUGGGGACUUGCAUAUCUGCGCCACCUUACACAUGUGCAUAGGAUCGUUUUUGUUCAAGAGUGCUUUGUGUGCCAGAUGGUAAGAUUAUCUUCUCUGGUACUAUGGGAUGCAUGAUCACUUCGCGUCCUUGAAGCGCAUAAUGAAAGCUGUGUGUUGUGGUAGUAUUCUAAUGUUCCUGUGAUAGAAAGACGUACUUACUUUGUUCUAAUGUUUUGUACUGUCCUAAUUCGAAAAACUUUAAUGUUCGUGGCCCAUAUUAAAUAGCUGAUUUCAUAGCAAGUGUGUGAAUCAGCUAGUAUAUUAUUAUUUUUAUUCGAAUUCUUGGGUGGUGAUCUUCAUGGGGCUGUUGGCCAGAUUAGUUUUGUAGGUGAAUUUGUAUAUAGUUAUAAUAUAUGUCGGAGGUAUUGAUAUUGAAUGUGGUUAGUUACCUAUGAUUUCUGCUGUUCUGAUUUAUUUAUAUAUUCCUGCUUUGAAUAUUAGUCAAUUCCUUGUUGUUUUAGGGUGAUUUUUUUAUGCUGAAUCUCACCUGAGUGUAGCAUUAUUCGAUGUAUGAACAAGAAUGCAUGGAUAGAUAGUGUACCUAAAUAGUUUAAGAAUUAAUUCCUUAAUCUUCGAUAAACAAUGAUAUGAAAAGUUGUUAAAACUUUUUGUUUUUAAUAGUGGAUUGAACUAAAGUAUAUUAUACAAGCUAAUACGCCAGUUGUAUUAAUGAUUAUAACAAGUGAAUGCUGUCAUAUCUUGAUUCGGAUAUAUAGUUGAAUUAUUUUUGGAUUUUUCUAUGCUUAUCUGGUUUCUAUUCAUGAUAUAGUCUUGGUCUAUUAAAAAAGAGAACUAUGACUUGUCCCUACUUUGCUGUAGAUGACACAUCAGAUUCUGGCGUUAUGUCAUGAUUUUGUGCCGACGCAAGGUACUGAAAGCCUCUAUAUGUUAUAAAUUACAAAAUUGAUAAAUCUGACUUGAAUUUGCAGUCACAAUAUGUGUUGAAUUAAAACAUACGCCACAUAUUAGUAUGUGGUGAAAUAUUAUUGAUCCUGUUUUUUCAGAUACACAAUAGGAAUCAUUCAUGAGACCGACGAUCAGACCUCCUUACACUACACUACGAUACGAUAAUUAGGUACUCCUCCUUCAAGAAUUAUCCCCACAAAGAUUUCGUGAACCCAGGCAUAAAUAGGGUCGAAAUACUUUGUUCGGAAAGUGAACGAACACGAUUCUUCGAAGAUUAUCCAGGAUUAUCACUUAAUUAUCUAACAUAUGACAUAAGCAUAAAAUAGAUUUAAAUGAACGUAAAACUAAAAUAUUUUUGGAUUAAAUAUACAACAUCUUCCGACAAUAUAAAUGAGAUUAAUUUAUAACUGUAAAAACAUUUUUUUAUUCUCCAUUUAAAUGUAAAGAUUCUCCGUCUAUGGUCCAUGAGUGCACUAUUUGCUAGCGUGAUUUGUUUAUGUAUCAUUUAAUUUUAUUUUUUUUAAGUUCAUGUGAAUUUUAUUUUACUUUUUUAAAAAAAUAAUUUUUUUAAUUUUCUUUUUUUAUAGGUUUUUUAUUAUGAGGGAUAAAUGAAAAUUUGCUCACAUUGCAGGGAAUAAAAUAUUUUUUUUCUGUUUUCAUGAUAAAUAAGUCGUCAAGGUAACAAAAAACCGCUGCAUCCAUUCAAGUAAAUAUUUUUACAGAAUAUCAAACAUUCUCCAAUGUCUCAUAAUUCCCUACAAAUAGUGUCACAUGGUACCAAGAACAAUAACAUGAUGAAAAUUCAGAUCCUGGAUUCCUCACUAUAUGUGUUAUGUUGUUGUCACUUUCAUCAACAAAACAAUCAAGCCAGUAGCUUGAAUGCAACCUGAUUGUUAAUUUGUGGACUAACCAACCUACUAUUUACAACGCUCUCAUAUGUGAAUCAUUAAAAGUUUGGCUUUCAGUUUAACAUGGUAGGCUUCUAAUGCUCCAGAAGCUUCCUGACUUGCUAGUGGGAAGUUUCUCAUCGUCGAAAGCCACAUUUCUACAAAAAGUGGAAAGACAGGGUGAUGACACAAUAAAUUAACGUCAAUAUUGUCAAAUAGCGCUAUUUAGUAAACUUUUAUUUUUCGCAAUCCAUGAUUCACAAUACUAGCUAACAUUAACACUAACCAACUUCACCCAAAAUUGAUAACUAAUAUCACAUAUCCACUCCCUAUUACCCUAUCAAUUUUCAAUAGUUGAAACAUAAGAGCAAAUAAAAGCUUCUUUAGGAACAUCAUUCAUGGUCAAUUAAUUGUCAGCUACUGUCAACUUUAAUCACUUGAGCCAAACCAGAUGAAAAUCACCGCAGAAUGUUAUCCAUUUGUCAAUUAACUACUCUAUUACUCUGAGAUCACAACAGCCAGAGCUUUAUAGCAGAAUAUAAUUUACAUGCACUAUACCUGCAAAAAAAUCAAAAUUUAUGUAUAUCAUAUACUUUUUCAAUAUCCACAACAUACAAACUAGUUCUGAUAGAUACCUCGAUCAACAAGUCACUCCAAUAUCUGACAAAACGCUUCUCAUAAUUGUUCCAUCGAACACAUGACAUGCAUCCUCCAUUCUCCUAACUUUUCCAUACAUACCCAUCAAUUCAUUCACCACAAUAAUAUCUCAUUUCAACAUUAGACAAUUUCAACAUUUUCAUAAGUCAAUGCAUUCAUCUGCAGGUUUCUUCCAUAAGCGAUUCAAAUGGAGCAAAACUAAUAGAAAACGAAAGAAGUCCAAAGAGUUUCAACUUGAAAGAAGGCUGCUUCACGAAAAAUAUCGUCAUCCAACCAAAAACAACACACGGAUAACCAACAGUCGUCACUCUCGGCAACACCACAAGCGGAGUUUAUCAUGGAGGUUAUUAGGGUAUGUAGGGAUGAAUCCCAUGGAGGAAGAAGAGAGAGAGAGAGGCGUGAGGAAUGUUGUAAGUGUGGGAGGAAAUUCGCCACUCACAAAAUAUAAACGGAAAAAUUAAAAAAUAUUUAAAAAAUAAAUUAAAAAAAAGUUUUUAAAUUUUAUUUAAAACUAAUUAAUUUUAAAAACAAUUAAAAAAAUAGUUCUUUUUUAAAUUAAAUUUUUUUAAAAUAAAAUCCACGUAGAUUUUAAAAAAUAAAAAUAAAUUAAAUUAAAUGACACAUAGACAAACCACAUCAACAAAUAGUGCACCCAUGAACCACAGACAAAGAAUCUUCAUACAACAAGAAGGAAAUAAAAAAAAAUCUUUUACAGGAUGUAAACCAAAUAUCGUUUAUAUUGAAGGGGGUAUCGUAUAUUUAAUCCAUAACUAAUUUGAUACAACUAAUUAUAUAUGACUGUGCAUGUGAUAUUGAUCACAUACUUACACUAAAUCAGACGACAAUCCUAUGUUAAGAAAAUCAAGUGACUCACACUAAAGACCUUACCGAGAAGAACUAUUUUUAUCUUAUUUUUAAUGGCAAAGUGUAAGUAGUUAGUGUUAUGGAUUGGUCAUAAGGCUCAAUAAUUAUAACCUAGAAGGAAAAACGCUAUAAUGCGUCAUUGACGGAACAAAUAUGUUAUCCUAGUCAGGAAGUCAGAUGAUCUCAAUCCAAGAUUCAUCAUACAGAUCUCCGCAUUUUACACCUAUAAAUCAGCAAGAUGUUCUAACUGUCAUCACAAUUUCUCGUUUACUUUUGAAUUUAAAUUUCAUUCACUCAUCUUAUUGUCAUACUGACUUGAUCGUUAUAGUGAAAAUCUUGCAGAUUAAGCCCUCUUCCAUCGCACUAGAAGCUCAAGUCCAUCAUUACUAUCCAUAUUCACUUAUCACCGAACAAUUAUGAUUCUUGCGCGUGAUAAUUAGUAUAAUAUUUACAUCUUUACCAAUGAUUAAACCUAGAACCUCCGACUCAUUUAACCCUUUAAUCAAUUGUUCAAACUAAUUGAGCUACCUCUUUCAAAGAAAAUAUUUUUAACAUUUUUUUUUGAUAUAAAUUAUUUAUUAAAUAAAAUACUAUUAAUUUUAUUCAUUUUAAUGGUAUAAGGAUUUUAAUCAAAUUUUUUAAUUAAUCAAAUAAUUUUAAAAAAUUAAUUAGUAUUUUAUUAUAACAUGUAUUCCAUCUUACAUAAAUGUCAUUAUGAUCAAAGGCGAGUGAAUAGUUUUUUGAAUAAUAAUGAUAGAUGUCUAGAACUUCUUUCACACCAUAAUGUCUCAAACUUUUAACCAUUAAUCUGUAGGGCUUUAAAUUUUUCACUCAUAAUUUAUGGCUAUCAUAAGAUAUAUCUCUUGUUUAAACCUUGCUUAGAUAGGAUUUAUUGUUGUUUUGUCACAAUUGAUUAGAGGUAAUGAUAAAACAACACAAUACUUUUAAAACCUUAAGACACCCUCUUAUACAAAUUAAGGAUGAAAAAACGUGACUAUCAAUCCGUUAAAAAAAAAUUGUGAGUUGAGUUGAGAUUUUAUUUUUGGCUAUCUGUUCGGUCCAUCUCGUUUUAAUUCCGUACCGCUUUAACUUCGUUAAAAAAGGAGUAGAUUGAUCUGUCAACACUUAAAAUAUUUAUUUUAGUUGGUUGAAGGUUAAUAUUUGAAAUAUAGUUUUAAAAUACUUCUUGAUAAUUUUAUUUUAUAUAUUUAUUUAUGAAUAUAUGAAAUAUCUUUUAAGUAAAAAAAUUUAAAAAAUACUUUAUAAAAAAUUGUUUUAAAAAAUAAUUAAAUUUUUUAAUUAAAAUAUAAAAAUAAAUCUAUUAAUUUAUUAAAAAAAAUAUAGGCGGACUUGUCCUCUGUCCACCAACUCGGGACAUAUUAAAUUUUUAAGUUUAAUUUUAUUUGGUGGAUCUGUCCAUUCCGAUAUUUUUUCUACAGACUUAAGGCUGAACGAACGAUUUGUUUUACCACCUCUAAUACAAAUUCAUUGUAUAUUCUUUUAAUAUUUAAGAAUUUAGAUUUACUUUAUCUAGAUACUUUUUUUAUUCUUUAUUUUAUGGAGAUAAAUUAGUGAAACUUAUUAGAGAGAUCAGCUUAUUAAAAUAGUUUCUACUAAUUUAUCACAUGUCUAAUGAAUUUAUAAAUAGAAUAAACUUUGACUCUUAAUUUAAUAUAUUUUCUUUUAUCAAAUAGUACCGUGACUAGAAUUUAUAUUUAAAGAUAAACAAAUAAAACCUUGCAAAUUGAAAUUUAUUUUUUCGCAUAAUUAUCAAAAAAUUUAAAUAAUUAAUUUUUUCAAAAAUAACUAUAAUUUCAAAAUAUUUAUGAAUAUAAUCCCUUUUCAAAAAAAAUUAACCAACACGUCAUCUACUAUGACGCAUGAAUUCUCAGACACUAAUGCAAUUGACGCAUGCAUGUAAAAUAUAAAAGAAUACACCACUGCAAUGGAUGAAUAUAUAUAAAAUGUAGAAACAUGCGUCCCUGCAAUUGGCGCAUGCAUGUGGCUACUCUUUAUUUUUUUACAUGCAUGCGUCAAUUGCAAUUGUGCAUGCUCCUACAUUUUACAUGCAUGCGCCAAUUGCAGUGACACAUGCUCCUACAUUUUAUAUGUUUUUACAUGCAUGCGUCAAUUGCAGUGACGCAUGCUCCUACAUUUUACAUGCACGUGCCAAUUGCAGUGACACAUGCUUUUACAUUUUACAAGCAUGCGCAAAUUACAAUAACACAUGCUUCUAUAUUUUACAUGUUUUCACUUGCACGUGACAAUUACCGUGUCGCAUGCUCCUAUAUUUUAUAUACAUGCGACAAUUGUAAUAACACAUAUUCUUACAUUUUACAUGGGUGCGCCAAUUACAAUGUCAAGUGCUUCCACAAAUAUGAUUAAUUUGGUAAAUCAAUUGAAAACAUGGUUAUUUUGAUAUAAAAUUGAAAAAAUUUAAUUAUUUAAAAAAAAAAUCAAUGACUUAAUGAGAUAAUUUAAUAUUUAAUUCUAAAGUUGAGUUAUUCGAACAAGCUAGUCAAUGAAUAAAUCUAUGACAAAUAGAGUAAAUUUAAACUCUUCAUUCAACAUUUAAUUUUGGAGUUACUUUAUUCAAAGACUCAAUUUUCAAUAUUAUAUCUGACAUCCUAUAGUAUUAUCAUCUUUCAACUUUUUUUUUAUCACAUAUAUUUUACACAUUUAAAAAAUAUAUUAAUCUACCUAAAAAACAAAGGUACACGUGCGAUAUAAAAAAGUUUAUGUACAUUUCUCUAAUUCUAGUUUUAUUUUUUUAAAGUUGUUUAGUGACUGAAAAUUUAAUUUUAAAAGUAUAAAUAAGAUAUCACAAUAUAAAUAUUCAUAAAUUAUAUAUAAUAUUUUUAUAUAAUUAUCAAUUAAAUUGACUUAACAAAAUUUAUUUUUAUUUAUUUAUUAUUUUAUUGAUUAUUAAGAAUUUUAUCAUUUAAAAUAAAUAAAUAAAAUAUCGCAUACUCAUACGAUUGAAUUUAUCUAAACAACUAUCAACUGAGUUGUCUUAACUUAUUUAUCUAAACAACUAUCAACUGAGUUGUCUUAACUUAUUUAACGUACACCACUUUUUAUUUAUUUAUUUUAAAUUGUUGACCAAAAAUUUUCAAUUUAAAAAAAAAACAUUGGUCAAAAAAUAUAAUAAAGUUAAAAACAAUUAUUAAAUGGCACAUAAUUUGACAGCCACUCAGUUUCCUUCUUCCACCUUUAAAUAUCCAUUGAAUUGAAGAGGAAAGUUACAAAACCUACAUACUCUUCCUUUACUCCACUGUCUCCUCUUUUCACACAAACACAACAACACUGUUCCAAACAAAACAAAAACAACCGGGACCAUGUUGUUUCAUACACACAACAACAUCGUCAUCAUGUUUAUCAUGAUCUUCAUCAUAAACACAACCUUAGUCACAUCAUCACCUUUGGUUCUCCGACCUGGAUAUUACUCAAAAACAUGUCCAAAAGCUGAAACUAUUGUCAGAGAUGUCAUGAAAAAAGCACUUGUUAAAGAACCCAGAAGUCUUG